GAGCAACUACUGCAAAUAUGAAAAUCAAGGCUUGCAGGUGUUCACAUCUUCAUUGUACCUGGCUGCUUUAAUAUCAACCUUCAUUGCGUCGUACACAACCAGAUCACUAGGCCGAAAACUAAGUUGAUUGCUGGGAUAUUUUUCGUAGUUGGAGCAGUUUUUAAUGGUGCAGUAAUACCUUCUCAUGCUUAUCAUUGGGAGGAUCUUGCUUGGUUGUGGAGUUGGUUUUGCUAACCAGGUGCAAACCAUAAAAUCUUAAUCUUAUCUUCUUUUAAAGAAAAAUAUUCUUUUUUGUUUAUAAAUUACCUGCUUCUUUCUUGACUGCUGACUAGGAUUUGCAUGAUGUCUAGCUACCUUUUCCUAUUACAUGCCUUGAACACAAUAUAAUUACUGAUCAACGUAAUAUAUUUACAGGCAGUUGCGCUUUUCCUUUCGGAAAUUGCACCAACAAGAAGUCGAGGGGCACUUAACAUCCUCUUCCAACUCGAUCAAUAUUACCAUUGGCAUUCUUUUUGCAAACUUUAUCAAUUACGGAACUAACAAGUAAGCCGGCCCAAUCUUGCUAGCUAAUUCAAAAGACAAAAUCUGAAGUUCUGAGACAACAAAUUUUAGUGUAGUAAUUUGUUCCAAUCACUUGAAAGAAUAUACAACUAAGUAAUAUUUUGUGUUACCAUACAUGCGCAGAAUUACGGGCGAAUAUGGAUGGAGGGUAUCGCUGGGUUUGGCUGGGAUUCCUGCAGGUUUGCUAACCUUGUGGUCGCUCGUUGUGGUAGAUACUCCUAACAGUUUGAUUGAACGAGGUAAGUUGGAGGAAGGAAAAGCAGUUCUUAAAAGGAUUCGUGGUGUCGACAAUGUGGAUCCAGAAUUCUUAGAGAUUGUUGAGGCAAGUCGGGUGGCUAAAGAAGUGAAGAAUCCCUUCCAAAAUCUCCUUAAGCGUAGGAACAGGCCACAACUGGUCAUUGCAGUUAUGAUGCAGGUGUUCCAACAAUUCACUGGCAUCAAUGCAGUCAUGUUCUACGCUCCGGUUUUAUUCCAGACCUUGGGGUUCAAGAGUGAUGCUUCCCUAUACUCAGCGGUUAUAACAGGAGCUGUCAACGUGCUGUCAACCGUUGUAUUAAUCUACUUUGUCGACAAAGCUGGUCGCCGUGUUCUCUUGUUAGAAGCCGGUGUCCAGAUGUUCCUUUCUCAAUUGGUGGUUGCAAUAGUUAUGGGACUCAGAGUCCAGGAUAACUCUAACAACCUUACUCCAGGCUUGGCAAUCCUUGUAGUGGUUAUGGUCAGCAGCUUUGUGUCUUCCUUUGCAUGGUUUUGGGGACCUCUUGGGUGGUUGAUCCCUAGUGAGACAUUUCCCCUAGAGGCUCGCUCGGCCGGCCAGAGUGUGGCUGUGUGCAUCAACAUGUUCUUCACCUUUAUUAUAGCACAAGCCUUCCUCUCAAUGCUUUGCCAUAUGAAGUUUGGCAUUUUUUUGUUCUUCACUGCUUGGGUUCUUGUCAUGACAACCUUUGCCAUGUUCUUAAUUCAUGAGACCAAGCAUGUCCCGAUCGAAGAGAUGAUAGAAAGAGUCUGGAAACAACAUUGGUUCUGGAAGAGAUUCAUGGGUGACUUUGAAGAUGAUCGCAAGGCAUAUGCUUGAACUAAGAUUUUACAAGAUUCCGGACUCUGAGGCUUCGAAGUUCUUCUUUUAGUUCAACUAGCGUCACAACACGAGCUCUCUUUACAUGCCAAAUGUUUGUUUAGUUAAUGUUUUGAGAGGUCUUAGUAGCAGGUUGGCACAGCUGAAAUUAUAUAUAAAAUAAAUAAAUAAAUAAAAAAGCAGCUAUGAAAAAAUGUUGGGGGUGUAAAAUGUGUUUGGUAAAUGUAAAAAUAAGUGCUUUUUUUCCAAGUUCUAACCAAAAUAAGCAGAAAAAUGGAAGCAGCAUUUUGCUGCUCCUCAAAACCAGCUUUAUUUUCAAAGUAGGCAGAUGAACAAUAAAGUUUAAUGAAACUUUCUUAAACCCAAUUACACCUUCUUUCUCCUUCUCGCUUCCCUCAUUGUAUCAAAUCAUCGAAUCCGAUUGUUUGAGAGGACGAGGUCCCUCAGCGAGUUGAAUCCGGCACUUGAUGCAAGCUGAAGAUAUACGGGAUGAAGGAUUGACUGUUGAUUACCAAGGUCGAAUUCAAAGAGCACCAAGGUCAAAUUCAGAGAGCUCCAUUUCAUUGACACGGUCAAAUUCAGAGAGCUCCGACGAAUUCAGAGAGCUUCAUUCAUUGACACAGAGAGACAGCUCGUGAAAACCCUGGUCAAAUUCAUCAUCUCGAGCCCGAAGCACGCGGAUUCGAACAACAAUUUCUUCUCCGGGAAUGAGACAAGACGGAGGAAAAAGAACCCAAAUGGGAAUUCUUUCUCUUCGUGCUGAAAUCUGUCGUCGAUUUUGGUGAUUGGGAAGGGAAGAGAACAGAGGGUUGGAGGGGAGGGAUUUGGAUCUUGAGCUGUGACCCGAAAAUGACGAAGAUUGAAGAUGAAAUUAUAAAUAAAAAAUAAAAUAAAUUAUUAUUUCACAUUUGAUAUUAUAUAAUUUUAGUCAUUUAUUAUAGUUGCAACAGUUUUAAAUAAAGUUUACCAAAUACUUGAACAUUAUUUUUUUUUUUGUUAAAAGCACUUUUACAAUAAAAAUUUAUUAAACAUUUAACUGCUUUAUUUUACAACUGAUUAUUUUUAUAACACAGUAAAAAUAAUUUUUUAUAAAAAAACACAUUAUUACCAAACUAGCCCUUAAGCUUUCCACAAUAUAUUGUUGGACCUCCCUUUUGGAUUGUAUUCUUUCGAUCUCUUUUCAAAAGUACUUUUCUUUUGUAUUUUAAUCUUUCAAUCUCGUUUUUCAAUUCAGUAGUCGGAUGCAGUUGCCAUUAAUUGUUUUUAAUGCGUUAUUUGUUCAUAUGAAUUGUAGAGAUUUUUUUUUUCUUUCUGAACUCAACUUUUGUUUCUUUACACUGAAAAUGAAAAUUAAAUAUGCAUUUUCUAAUUUACUCCAGUUUGUUUUUUUUUUUUUUUUUUUUUUUGGUAAAAGUGCGAAUAAAUAGAUGUAAAAUAAAGUUGUGAAGCUACCUUGUAAAUAAAGUCAAGAGGAAAGAAUGAAUUAUUUUUUAGUCAUUUAACAUAUUUAUAGCAAUUUAUAUAAAAAUUUACCACAUACUCAGAUAUUAGUUUUUUUUUUUUGUUAAAACCACUUUUACCAACCCAAAAAGCAAUUUAUAUAAACGAUCUGUCAUCCACAAUCUCUCUCUCUCUCUCUCGCACAUCAUCUUAGCCAUCUACGAACCCAAAAAGCCUAAAUAUUCUGAUGAAAUUAAAACAUAACUUGUGCACAAGUGGCCCUCUGCCAUAGUGGUAGAGAAGAGUGUUGUCUUUGCACCUUGACAUGGAUUCAAAUCUCGUCGACUCUCUAAUCUAACAUCUAAUCUAACAAAUUUAUCGCUUGAACAAAAAAAUACAAAACUUGUGGCAAAACAUCAAAGUAGAUAUUGCAGCAAAGUUUGAGAGGAUUAAAAAGGAACUCUCUGAAUUGAAGAAGUCACAAGAACGUGACGACCUUUCACACAAGAAGUCACUGGUAAACAAAUCAAAUGAGUAGAAAAGAAAAGAAAUGGAUUGCAAACUUGGAAUCUUAUUUCAUAGACUUUACACUAGUACUAUAAAAUUGUCAAGACAACUACAUAUAACUUGAAAAUAUCACAAGUCAUACUUAAUUUUUUCUAUUACCUAGCACGAGACCUUUUGGAAGCUCACUGGCUUCGGGUUCCAUCGGAACUCCGAAGUUAAGCGAGUUCGGGCGAGAGCAUUUCCAGGAUGGGUGAUCUCCUAGGAAGUUUUUGUUUGAGUUCCCAGAAACAAAACCAAACCAUGAGGGUGUGUUCGGGGUCCAAAGCAGACAAUAUCGUGCUACAGCAGAGUCGAACCCGGAAUGUGGUGGGGGCCCGGGCCGGGAUGUGACAUUAAUUGAGUCUUUCAAGUUUGAAGAAUGUUAAAUAAAAUUAAUAAAUUAAAAAACUCUUUUUUGUCAAAAAAUUAAAUUAAAUUUUGUAUAUUAAUAAAUUUAAAUAUUUAAUGGGGAGACAUUAAAUAAAAUGCACAUUAAUUAUUUUGAAUUAAGGACACAUCAAGGGAUUAUAAUCAAUAUGUAAUCUAACACCAGGUUUAUUUAAAUUUCAAUCUUCUUGAAGGAUUAAAGUUAAAAAAAAACUCCUUUUUAUAAUAUAACAAAAAAAAAGAAGUUACAUCUAGGUAAAAGGACAUAGGGGUGGGAAAUUUUGCCAUAAACUGAUUUAUCGACCGAACCAUACCGGUCGGCUCAUAAUGGUAUGGUAUAGUUUUGGCAUUUUUUCAUAAUCGGUUGGCAUUUUACCGAACCGAUAAUUAAUGGCAUGGCUUUGGUAAUUGAUUUUGUAUGAUGGCGGUAUGCCAUACCUACCAAUAUAUAUAUAUAUAUAUUUUUAGAUAUUUUGGGUAUUUUUUACAUGCUUGACUCCUCAGUUUUAGGGUUUAGAAAAUAAAUGACUCCUUAGUUUUAGGGUUUAAAAAAUAUAAGUAUAUGUAUAUGAUUCAUGCCAUAAUAAAUAUAGAAAAUAUUGUUAACAAAAUUGAUAGCAUGAUGAUUACCGAUACUAUAUAUACACGUACAUAUAUAUGAUUUUGAAUGUAUAUGCGUUGCUUAUGUUUAGGAUGAUGGGGUCUAGCCAAUCAACCGCUAGUGCACAACAUGAAUUAACCCAAAAUGACACAAUGCAACCGAACAAGCACCCAAAUCUGAAAAUCAAAUUGAGCCCUUGGAACUAGAAGAUAGCGAGGAAGAAGUGGAAACCACCGGUUGUGCCAUUUACCAAUUGAACCAGCCAAUAAUUUUGGCUGAACCAAUUUUUGGCUACCACAAGAAGACGAUUGGUUAGUGGUAACUGAUUUUCGGUAAUUAUGUAUAUGUGGCUGCCAAGUGGCACAAGGAAUUUGGCACGGUUUGCCAACCGAACCCAGCCCUAAAAGGACAUAAACCUUACUUCACAUAAUACAAGAAAAUUGAUAAAAUGAACAUGAAAAAGAAGGACAUAAACCUUAUCCCUUUAGAAACAAAAUAUAAAAAAAAAAAAGAUACAAGGAAAAGAGGGGGGUGACAUGAAACCUAAUCCCUCUAAAGCCAAACUUAAAAGGUCUAAACCUACAAAAUAAGUCGAACAACACCACAAGGUUAGAAAAAGAAAAAGGGAGACAAAUUUGUAUGCUGAUAUGCACAUUAUUCGGAGAAGCGAAAGCUAGGCAAGCCAGCAUAGUCCGAAAACAAAGCAACACAAACCACCGGCGAAGGAGAAUCAUGCCAUAUCUAAGUUUGAGAAAAUAAGCAUAUGUUAGCAAGUUUGUCUGCGACAACAUUUCCUUCGCGAUAUAUUUGAGAGGGAUAGAAGUUAUCUUCCGAAUGCGGUCCAAACAAAUAGACCAUUGUGUACGAAGAGGCUAAGGAGGAUAAAACUCAGUCAAUUGGAGAAAUAUAUUAUUGAAGGGUUCGGGAUAUGAGAAGCCAAUAGCGCAAACGGAGGAGAGUGAUCUGCAAGGGACAAUCAAACAUCAGUUUGAGAAGCAGGCUUCUUUCAAGAAAGGUAUGUCUGCAUUCUACUAGUUGAAUUUUUUUUUUUAUUCGUUUAGGGUGCGUUUGGUACGUGGGAUGGGACGGAACAGAGUGGGACGGAACCGUUCCGUCCCACGUUUGGUGCCUUAAAAUUGUGUGGAACGCGCGUCCCACGGAACGAAAAAGAGUCAGAUUUUGGUUCCCCCUCCCCCACCUGGAACAGGUUUUUCCAUCCCGUGGGACACAAAUUUUUUUUUUUUUGGACAACAAUACCCCUUUUAUUUUUCAUUAAUUACAUUGUCUACCUCCCUUCUCUCCCGUAACCUCCCUCUGUUCUACCACAAACCCAGUAACCCAAUCCCUUCUUUCCCGUAACCUCCCUCUUCAUCCACCACAAACCCAGUAACCCAAUCCCAGCAAACCCAUCCGACGACGACGACGUCACCACCGUCACCAGCAAACCCCUCUUCUUCUCCGGCGUCGUCACCACCGUCACCAGCAAACCCUCUUCUUCUCCGGCGCCGUCACCAUGGAGCCGUCACCAGCAACCCCUCUUCUUCUCCGGCGCCGUCACCAUAGCCAGGCCGAUGACGACGACGACGCUGCACGGAGGAUGAUGACGACGCUGCAGGCCGACGACGACGACGCUGCAGGCCGACGACGACGACGACGCUGCACGGAGGAUGAUGACGACGCUGCAGGGAAGACGAUGACGACGCUGCAGGGAGGACGAUGACGAAGCUGCAGAAAUUGAUUGAAAUGAAUUUUGGGAUUUUUCUGUGUUUGAUUUUGGGAUUUUUCUGUGUUUGAUUUUGGGAUUUUUCUGUUUUUUUUCUUCUUGUAAUUGUUUGCUGGUGACGAGAUCUGAAAUUGAUUGGAGGGUUUGCUGGUGACGAGAUUUGAAACUGGAUUGGUUGCCGAGAAAACGAAGGAAAACGAAAACUGGGGUCUGAUUGUUUGAGUUCAUACUCGCACUCAGCAAUUGUACAAACAAGGCUAAGUUAGUCAUUUAACACGAAAUCCAAACCAUUCCGUCCUACGCGUACCAAACAUAACACGAACCUCCGUUUCGUUCCGUCCCGUCCCGUCCCGUCCCGUCCCGUCCCGUCCCGUCCCGUCCCGUCCCGUCCCAUCCCGUCCCGUCCCGUUCCGUCUGCGUACCAAACGCACCCUUAGAUAUUUCAAUCAUUUAUUCUUAGUACAAGUUAUAAUGUUUUUAGGAUUUUUCAUGUAGUUCACAUUAAAAUUUUAUUCUGUAAAUUGUCAAGUAAAAUAUGACCAUAUAUUUAAAUGAGAAGAAAGGAAAAAAAAAAAAAAAACCGACCAUAGUACUUAUAUGCUAAAAACUGCAACAGAGGAAAAGGGGACAAUCUCCACUUCACGUGAUCCAGAACCUAAAGAAUCAACACAUUUGGAGUUAAAUCAUCAUGAAAUGGCUACAGUUCAUGCUGAUGACCAAACUGUAGAAGAUGGCAGUGGACCUUUAGAAGUAGGAAGCGAAGACUCCCUAGGAUCAAAUCCUAAUUUCUAGGUGAAUGACCACCUCUCGGACGGUGAGGCGUUGGAAAUUAUGGUUGAAAGUGUUGAUUCUAACACUGAUCCAAUUAGGGAGAAGCAAAUGGAUGACUUAUUACUGGAGCAGAAGGCAUCCCAAGAACAAUUCGAGUCCCCGAAGAGAAGUCUGAAACUAGAGAUGGAGGUAAAGUUGAAUGUGGAGAGUAGCCAGGAAUAAAUUUACCACUACAAACAAUCCCAGAAAUGAUAGAUAUGCACAUUCGAUGAAGGUAGAUUGGCUGAGCUUAAAAAAUAAACUUAUUUCGAGCUUUCCAAAUAGCCGAAAUAGUCGACCCCCAAAGUCCAGAGAUUAUGCAAUUGUUGGGAAAAGGGCUUACGCACAUAGAUAUUCCAAAAAUCAACUGAAGAAUCUGAAAGAGGCAAAGAAGUACCAAAUUGACAUGUUAACCACCUCCAAAACAACAUAGAUAUAGGACAGCUGAAGAAAAGAUGAGCAAUAGAUUUCUCAUAAUUAUGACAUAAAUAACACAUAGAUGCCAAAGAUAUACCACGUCGUUUUAGAGCCCCUUCGGUUGGAAGUUAUCAUGAAAAAGUUGUCAAGCCAAAAUAGACAGCCGAGGUGGGACAAAAUGUCGCCAAAUAACCUUAGCCCAAACACAAUCACUAUUCUUUCGUUAAUAGAGAUGAGACCUAAUUGUAUUGGCGAGUCUUAUCUCUAUUAGAAUGUAAAGUAAUUAUGACUUUACUACCGUGAAAUAUUGUGGUUUUCAAACUUUCAUACAUCAGAUUUUUUUUAUCCCAAUCUCAUGCCUAAAGUUACGUUUUUUUCUCCUAGAUUCAUACUUCCGUUUUGUUGAUCGUAAGUAACUCUGUUAAAGUGUGAUGUGUCUCCCAUGUGAACGCUAACUUUCAUACACAUGUCAAUGUGGCUUCACGUGGACAAUUUAAAAAAAAAAGAUUUGUCAAAAUAAAAAUUAAAAAGUACUUAUGUUUUCCCUUCGUCUUCCUCCCAGAGGGAAGAAAUUCGAUCCAAUUCUCGAAUCUCAACCUUCCGAACCCAACCCGAUCAAAGUUGCUGCGAUGGUUCGACCGCCCCGUCUGAGCCCACCGAACCCUCAACUGAUCCAGCGGUUCCUGAGCUCCGUCCUCUCCGAACGCGACCCUCCUCCCUGCGUGUACGUCAACCUCACGCGCGACAUGGUCAUUACUUGAAGGGAAACUGGAAUAAUCUUCCAAGCAUUACUUUUCUCUCCCCCUAUCUAUAUUAUGUUUAUUCUUGUAGUGUUGACUGUAAUAGUACAGAAGCAAAUUAAGCACAACGGAGAACGAAAUUAUUUGAAGGGAAACUGGAAAUUAAACUGAUAAAAAAAAGUUACAAUUCAAACUGUAACAAUAUAGAAGUGAACGCAAGCACAAUUGGCGUGUAACCUACAAUUGAGAAAAUUAAGCAACAAAAAAUUGAUUGGAAAACUGCCAUUCGAAAGCGCUGCGUGAACAAGGCCAAUGCUUCAAGCAUGUCCCUUCUCCUUAGGGUUAUCUUCACAGUCAUCCACAUAUCUCUUCCAAAACCAAUGCUCCCUCCAUACUACCUCUACCAUUUCUUCAAUAGGGACACCUUUAGUCUCCGGAAGUAAAAAGAACACGAAGACUGUCAUGAGAAAGACCCACGCUGCGAAGAAUAAGAAAAUCGCAAACUUCAUGUGACAAAGCAUUGAGAGGAAGGCCUGUGCUAUAACAAAUGUGAACAACAUGUUUACACACACAGUCACACUCUGCCCGGCCGAUCGAGCCUCUAGCGGGAAUAUCUCACUGGCAACCAACCAGCAAAGAGGCCCCCAUGACCAUCCAAAGGAACCCACAAAAGAGCAGAUUACAACAACCACAAGAAUUCCCAAGCCGUGAUCGAGGUCGUUGGAUUGAUCCUUAAGUUUCAUCCCAAGAAUGAUCGCAAUAACCACGUGAGAGAGGAACAUUUGGAUGCCACCUUCAAUCAAGAGCACACGGCGACCAGCUCUGUCGACAAAGAAGAUUGAAAUAAUGGCUCCGAGGACCAUGAUAACACCUGUUAUAACCGAUGAGUAAAGGGAAGCAUCGUUCUUAAAUCCCAAGGUCUGGAACAAAACUGGGGCGUAAAAAUUGAUUGAGUUAAUGCCUGUGAAUUGCUGGAAGAACUGCAGAAAACAUUACCACAUAUAGAAUUCAGACACAACCAAAAUUCGAGAAAAUUUUCUUCUGACAAAUUAAUUAUGUUGUCAAGUUGUCAAUUAUAACACGCAAUAUAUUAUGCUAUGAAAACCUUGGCCAUUAAAAGUAGGGAUAUAUAGAUUGUUGUCCUUGAAUAUUGGUUUUAUGUGAAAAAUUCUAGUGUUAGUUUGGAUUUUCAUUUUAGUCCAUUAUGUAAGGUCCAUUAAUUUUUUUUCCCUGGUUGACAAUAUAGUAUUCGAUUAAAGUACUCAGUAUGAUUUUACAUUAACCAAGGCAAUUAAAUACUUAAUGACCUGCAAGAAAAUUGUAAUGACCAGUUGAGGUCUGUUUUUACGGUUGAGGAGAUUUCUGAAGGGAUGCUUCACUUCUUUAGCAGCGCGACUUGCCUCGAGAAUCUCAAGGAAUUCUGGAUCGACAUUCUCAAUACCCCGGAUCCUUUUCAGAACUUUUUUUCCUUGCUCCAACUUCCCUCGUUGGAUCAAACUGUUUGGAGUGUCUGUUACAAUGAUAGCCCCCAAUGUUAGCAAGAGUGAUGGAAUGCCAGCCAAACCCAGCGAUACCCUCCAUCCAUAUCCCCCUUUAAUCCUGCAUGUGGUAGCACAAACAUUGUAGUUGGGAACUUGGAGAGAAACCGAAAUACAAAAUUGUAGUUGGGAACUUCAAGAGAAAUCGAAAUACAAAAAAUUUGGUUAGGAACUUGGGAUUCCUAUUAGGCUCCACCCUCAGAUACAUAUCGAUUCAAAUUAAAUUCUUCGGUGUGACUAUAAUACUGGUAAUUCACCACUGUUAUAUCCCAUGUACAUUAAUUAAUAUCAGACAAUAGAGUAUAAAUCGUUUUCUACCUUCAUGAACUAGUAAUACCACAUGACGGUGAUACAAUUACAAACAAAAGUUUCUUGGGGAGAUAGGCUGGCUUACUUGGCAGUUCCAUAAUUGAUAAGUUGUGCUACAAGAAUGCCAAUGGUGACCAUGAGCUGGAAGAGCAAGUUAAGUGCUCCACGAAUUCUUGUGGGUGCAAUCUCCGAAAGGAAAAGUGGUACGGCCUGUUAUGGUUGAAGAAAAUCGCAACAUGAUCAAAUUAUUUAUCCAUGAGUUAACCAAUCAUUAAUUAGUAUUCACCUGGUUAAGUAAUUAUGUAUUUACCUGGUUAGCAAAACCAACUCCGCAACCAAGUAAGAGCCUCCCAAUAAUGAGCAUGAUAAGGUUCUUAGCUGCAGCAUUAAAAAUAGUUCCGGCUAUGAAGAAAAACCCGGCCAUCAACAUGGUCAUCCUUCUGCCUAGAACUCUGGUUGUAUACGACGCGAAGAAGGUUGCUGUCAAUGCAGCAAGGUACAAUGAAGACGUGAACAAUUGCAGACCUUGAUUGUCAUAUUUACAAUAAUUACUCUCAAGUCCUGGAAUUUGCUGCUUCCUAUAUACAACCGGGAAGAAUUCCUUUAGGAAGUCGGGCAUUGAUGUAACACCACCUGCAUCGAUUGGUAUAUCAAAUUUAAAAUUAAUAUGUACAACAAAUUUAAUUUUUGAAUCAUGAAACAAAACAAAAUUUUGUGCAUAUAUACAUGACAUGUUGUAGGUUUUAUACGAGUACCUGAAAUGCCAAUAUCAUAUCCAAACAUUAGGCCUCCGCUAGCGGCCAAUAUGCAAGAAAUGACCACGAUAGGCGUGACCUUUCCUUCAAAAUCCUCGCCGCCUGUCGGCCCCCCGAAUCCCCCCGCCAUGAUUCCUACCCUGUUUUUCUUCUUCUUAUGCUUUGCUUAGUUAUACCUGAUUAAUUCUUGAACCUAAUUAUGUUACAAGACGAUGCGGCCGACCGGAGUAGAGAGAAAGGACAGAGUAGCUCGGUGAAAAUGCAUAUGUGUGCGUGCGUGAGGGGUUUAUAUAUUAGACGACAUCAAGGUAACAGAUCGAGAUUGAAAGACGUAGAAAAUGGAUGAAUUAGUAAGUGCCAUGGUCAACAGCUUUUCCUAUGGCGCGACCUGCGGUUUCUGUUCAUCCUUGUUGCUUGGUUAGUCAUGAAGGGUACGAGAAGUUAGUUGCACCACAGUUGAUUAAGUCGUUUAGAGUUAUGUUAGAAGCACCACGUUUUCCAACCAUAUUCUUUAGCGAGCUCAACACAUCAUGUGGCCUUCAAUUUAUCAAAUAACAGCUUGUCAUAUAAUAAUCAAAUUAAUAUAUAGAGAGUACAUAAAUUUCCACGACAAGGGUUACAUUGUGCAUUUGUACUAGUCAGAAAAUCGCAUCUGAUUCCUGGUUAAUUAUACUAAUUAAUUGAAUAUGCAACGAUAAAUACAAGUAUAAUUUUAAAAGAGUAUUGAUAGGGGAUCACAUUCUUGUAGCAAGUAAUGCCACUAGUUAUCUCUUGGAUUAUGUUAUUUUUAGGUUGGCUCGGCCUGUAGUAUUUGAACCUAUCGUAUUAUUUCGUUUUAGUCUCUAGUUACACAGUUGGGGACUAAAGAUUGGUCCUAAAUUCAAUAAUCAAUAUUUUAAUUAUUUUUAUAAACAAACGAUAUUAUUUACAAUUAUAAAAACGAUAUUAUCUAUACUAAAGGAGUCAAAGAGUGGGCUAAGCCUUAUAAUGAUUUAGCAACAAUGUGGUUCAAAUUUGUCUUUAACUAAAAUUAAAUCUAACACCUCUCACUUACAAAUGAAAAUGAAUACCACUAUUUUUAAGUUAACAUUUAAACGGAUAUCAACAUAGAAAUUUUGGCCGAAGUGUAUAGCACGCACUGAAGGCUGCAUUUAAUACUUUUUUGUUGGGAAACAAAAUAUGGUUUUUAUCACAAGUAGUUCCUGAAAUUGACUUAUACCAUCAAGAUGGUCCCUAAAAAUAAAAAUCAAUCAAUAUAGUCCCUAAAUAUGGGUAUUGGAAAUCAAUGUGGUCUUUCUGUUAGAAUUCAGUCAAAAUUUCUGUUAGUAUGUUGAUUUGACACAUGUAGACCCCACAAAUAUUGCCACAUGGAUAAGUUAUUAAAAACUUUAUAAAAAUUCAAUUUAAAAUCAUUUAAAACUAAGUUCAAAAUGUUUAAAUAAAAAAUUAAAAGUUGUUGGACAAAAACAAUUAAAGCUGUUACUUUCACGAUGAGGAUGACUCAAUUCGUACAAGGACAGAGAGAGCUAUGGGCAAAGGAGAUCAUAUACAAUGACCAAGUCGAGGACGUCAUCCAAGCUUGUCCAAAAAAUUCUUCGUUCUUAGGUUGUCUCGCUGUCUCAAAAUUAGGAUCGGGGGUUGCGAUGGGGGACUGGUGGUUGUUACCUUGGUGUCGGUCGGAGGUUGGGUUGAACGGAAGCGGGUUGAGGUAGGUUGGUGCGAUCACAGUGAGGAGGGAAGGGGUCGAUGAUUCAACGGUGAGGGGGAAUGAUUGACAACAACGAUGUCAGGGUGAGAUGCGGGUGGGGAAGAUGGUGGCUUGUGGUGGGAAAGAUGGCAAGAGAAUUGGCAGAUGAUGAGGAUUGAGAAUUAAAGCUGCACCUAAUUGUUUAAUUUAAUUAGAUGAGGCUUGAGGAUUAAAGAUGCAUCUAAUUUUUUUGUUGAAUAGCUUUUAAUUUUUUUAAUUUAAUCAUAAUUUGAAUUUAGUUUUAGUGAUAAAUUAAUUUUUAUAAAGUUUUUAAUAAUUUAUUCAUGUGGCAAUAUUUAAUAGACUUGUGGGUCCAUAUAUGUGCCAAAUCAACAUACAAACAUAAAUUUUGACGGAAUUCUAACGGGAGUACCAUAUUGAUUUGCAACAAUCAUUCUCAAGAACUACAUUGAUUGAUUUUCAUUUUCAAUCAAAACUGACAUUGGAGAAGCAUUUCCAAGCUUUCUUUGAGGAGAAGCAUUUCCAAGCUUUCGUUUGAGGAGAAACAUUUCCAAGCUUUCCAAGCUUUUUCUAUUUACCAUUGAAGAACCCCAGUGGAGUUAAUAGAAGGCAAAACUGACAAUGGAGGAGAAGCAUUUCCAAGCUUUCGUUUGAGGAGAGACACAUGAAAGACUUGGUGGAUUUUGGAGUCUGUAGGCCAAAGAAGUCGAUAUGUUACAAAACCAAUGCACUGAGUUACCUGAAAAGAUCCAUAGAACUUGGAUGCUAGAUUGAUUUUUGUUCUUGCAGCCACUGAGUGUUGGCGGUAUGGAUGAAGCUUAAGGUAAACCCAAUCACCAAUGUUAAAUUCCCGCUCAGUUCUCUUGUUAUCACAUACUUGUCUCAUUCUGUUCUGAGCAAGCUGCAGAUUUGUUCUCAGAAGGCAGAUCAAUUUGUCCUUAUCUUGGAGAGCAACAUCCACUGACUGUACCACCGUGGAACAGGGCAUAUACAUGUGAAUUGUCAGUGGUUUAAUGCCGUAAACAACCUGAUAAGGAGACAUUUGGACGGCAGAUUGAAAGCUUGGAUUAUAUCACUAUUCGGAGGAGUAACAUCGAAGGUAAUGUUCCAAGGUGCGGUUGAGUACUUCUGUUUGGCCAUUCAUUUGAGGGUGGUAAGCUGAACUUGGGCAAAGUUUGCUACCUUGGAGUUUAAAGAACUCUUGCCAAAAGUUGCUGAUUAAAAUUAGGUCACGGUCAGAAACAGUCAACUUAGGCAAUCCAUGGAGGCGAAAAACUUCCUUGAUGAAAGUAUCAACUAUGGAGGCAACUAAGUAUGGGUGCUUAAGUGGGAUAAAGUGGCCAUACUUCGAUAGGCGAUCAACGACAAUUAGGAUCACGGUGUACCCGUUGGAGGGGGGAAGUCCUCCCACAAAAAUCCGUAGCUAUGUCCUGCCAGACGUCGGUGGGGAUGGACAGGGGCUGCAGCAACCCAGGAGGAUGUAUAUUCUCGAUGUUUUGGCGCUGACAUUCCAUGCAUUCAACCACAAAUUGUUUUGUUUCUUUCCGAAUUUCGGGCCAUAAAAAAUUUCGGGAGAGUCUUUUAAUAUGUGGAGAGUAUAUUAUUUUCCACGACAAGGGUUACAUCGUGCAUCUGUACUAGUCAUAAACUUGCAUCUGAUUCAUGGUUAAUUAAACUAAUUAAUUGAAUAUGCAACAAUAAAUACAAGUGUAAUUUUAAAAGAGUAUUGGUAGGGGAUCACAUUCUUGUAGCAAGUAAUGCCAGUAUUGUCUCUUGGAUUAUGUUAUUUUUAGGUUGGCUCGGCCUAUAGUAUUUGAACCUAUCGUAGUAUUUCAUUUUAGUCUCUGGUUACAUAGUUAGGGACUGAAGAUUGGUCCUAAAUUCAAUAAUAAAUAUUUUAAUUAUUUGUAUAAACAAACGAUAUUAUUUACAAUUAUAAAAUGAUAUUAUUUAUACUAAAAGGGUCAAAGAGUAGGUUAAGUCUCAUAAUGAUUUAGCAAUAAUGUGGUUCAAAUUCGUUUUUAGCUAAAAUCGAAUCUAAUACCUCUCACUUGCAAAUGAAAAUGAAUACCAUUAUUUUUAAGGAAAACUAAUGAAAAUGGCUUGAAAACUUUGAGUUUUAAUGAUAAGGACAAAAUAAAGGGUAAAGUGAAUAGUAACAGAAUUGACUUUUCAGUGUAAAAAUGUGGUUUUUGGUUAAAGUGAACAGUACCGGGUGCUUUUCGUUAAAGUUCCAUUUUUUUUAAGUUAACAUUUAAUACUUUUUUGUUGGUUGAAGUGUAUAGCAUACACUAAAGGCUACAUUUAAUACAUUUUUGUUGGGAAACAAAAUAGAGUUUUUAUCACAAGUAGUCCUUGAAAUUGACAUAUAUCAUCAAAAUGGUUCUUGAAAAUAAAAAUCAAUCAAUGUAGUCCUUGAAUAUGGAUGGUAAAUAAAAAAUUAAAAGUUGUUGAACAAAAACAGUUAAAGCUACUACUUUCACGAUGAGGAAGACUCAAUUCGUGCAAGGACAGAGAGAGCCCCAGAUGAGAUCAUAUGCAAUGACUAAGCCGAGGACAUCAUCGAAGCUUGUCUAAAAAAUUCUUCGUUCUUAGGUUGUCUCGUUGUCUCAAAAUUGGGAUCGGGGGUUGCGAUGAGGGCUGGUGGUUGUUGGCUUGGUGUCGGUCGGAGUUUUGGGUUGAAGGGAAACGGGUUGAGGUGGGUUGGUGCGGUCACGGUGAGGAGGGAAAAGGUCGACGAUUCAACGGUGAGGGGAAAGGAUUGACAACAACGAUGUUAGGGGUGGGGUACGGGUGGGGAAGAUGGUGGCUUGGGGUGGGAAAGAUGGCAAGAGAAUUGGUUGCUGAUGAGGAUUGAGAAUUAAAGCUGCACCUAAUUGUUUAAUUUAAUUAAAUGAGGCUUGAGGAUUAACGAUGCACCUAAUUUUUUUUUGUUGAAUAGCUUUUAAUUUUUUAAUUUAAUCAUAUUUUGAAUUUAGUUUUAGUGAUUUUAAAUUAAUUUUUAUAAAGUUUUUAAUAAUUUAUUCCUGUGGCAAUAUUUAAUAGACUUGUGGGUCCAUAUAUGUGCCAAAUAAGCAUACUAACAUAAAUUUUGACCAAAUUCUAACGAAAGGAUCACAUUGAUUUUGCAAUAAUCAUUUUUAGGAACUAUAUUGAUUGAUUUUUAUUUUCAAGGAUCAUCUUGAUAGUUUGCGUCAAUUUCAAACAUGUGAUUAAAAAAACCCAACAAAAUAUGUAUUUUCAUACUGUCAACUUUUGAUGUCUUACAUAGCAAGGUUUAUUUGUCAAAAGUCAAAAGGAGUGUCGGGUUUUCUAAGUCAAUCAGAAAGUAAUGUAAACUUGUCUUUGCGAGCUUUAGUUUUCCUUUUAGUUGAACACUGACACAAUGGCAUGUUGUUUUGCUAAAUUUUGUAUUGCUUUUCUGCUACGUUUGUAAUUGAGAAAUUGCAUUCUCGAGGGACGGAAGUGAUAACAGUACCUAUGAGUCUGUACUUUUCAAACAAUAAUGCUAUUCUUAUCAUAUUUUUAUACUAUAUUUAUAUAUCAUCUUACGUGUUAUUUGAUGUGGACAUAUACAUCAUUUAAAUUAAUCACAAUUUAAUUUAAAUUAAAAACCAUUUAGUAAACCAAUAAUUAAAAAAAAAAACUGGAAUUAAAUGGUUAUUGUGAUAUAUGAGGAAUCUUUUGUUUCUUCUCCCGUUUCUUCUUCCAGUUCUUUCACGCCAUAUUUUUUUUCUUCAGCCGCCUCGCUAUUGAUGGAAGCAGACGAAGUAAUGGAGCUAUACGAUUCUUUCUGGUUUGAGCUCCAGAUCUUCAAGAAACAACCAGUUUCAUCGAACCCAUCAAAUUUCAAAGAACACCCAAAUCAUGAAAUCGAAGAAAACGCAUCAAAACCAGAGUUUUAAAGGAUUCCAACCAAGCACACCAGGUCCAUGAGCGACGAGUUGAGCUCCAAUAUGAGCACUCUCUCGCUGGACUCUGUCCUCCACAGAUCGAAGCUCUCCAUAAUUCUUUCCAGAAAAGAAGCCAAGGAAAUCGAAAAUUGGAAACCCGAAGCAGAUAUAUUCAGAAGAAGAGCCACAUAAGAAAGUUGAAAAGAGGAGGAGAAGAAAGAAGAAGAGUGAGAGCAAGAGCUUGAUGGACCUUCAGUUUGAAGAGCUAAAAGGGUUUAUAGAUCUUGGUUUUGUUUUCUUAGAGGAAGAUAAAGAUUCAAACUUGGUUUCAAUCAUUCCUAGGCUGCAAAGAUUGGGAAAGAAAGAUGAUAGCAGAGAUUGAGAGUUUUGAUGAGCCUGCAAUUACAAGGCUGUACCUUUCUGAAGCUUGGGAAGACCACAUCAGAUUAAUUUAAAUGAAUUUUAAAUUAUUGGUUUAUUAAAUGAUUUUUAAUUUAAAUUAAAUUCUGAUUAAUUUAAAUGACGUGACUGUACACAUCAAAUGCCACAUAAUAUGGUAUAAAAACAUGGUAAGAAUAACUUUACUGCUUUUAAAAACUUCAUCACAAACCGUUGAACGUGGUUUCUUUGCAGUACUGGUAUUAUCCAUAGGGGAUUUGGAUCCUUUCCAAGACAACUGGUCGGAUCCUCUUGACCAAUGUUCAUGGACCGUUAGAUUUUUAUCUAACGGCUACAAUUAUUGUAAUUUUUAGAGAGCCCCCUGUUUGUAGCCGUUGGAUAAAAAUUCAACGGUCCACGAACACUAAUCAGGAGGAUCCGACCAGUUGCCUCGGAGAGGAUCCAUAUCCAUCAACAAGGGUGAUUGAUGAGUAUAUUUUAUAUUAUAUAUUUUCAAUAUAGGACUUUCGACUUCUUCUGGAGCAAAACAGGAUCAAAUGGACGAAUUUUGGAGUAAUUCUAGUUGGAGGACGUUCGUGAGUCACUUAGCUUGAUCGUAUCAAAAUUUGGGAUUUUUCCACAAAGUGGUUAUUUUCUGGCGAUAAAAUAAAGAAGCAGUGCGUAAUGCUGGAAAAUGACGUUUUUGGAGCCCAAGAUGACCUCGGAUGGGUUAGUGGCCUUCUGGAAAAGUGUUCAGAAUAUUCCAAACAUUAAAUCCAGCUAUAUUGGGCCAGUUUUGGAGCAGCUUAUGGGUCAAAACGUGGCUGUUCAGAUUUUAAACGAAUUUUAUCAUUUAAUUUAGGGUUAUGUUUCCUAAAUUUUAGGGGGAUUUAAAUUAAUUUUAGUUUCCUAGGGUUUGUGUGGGAGGCUUGGCAGAUAUAUGGCUUGGCCGUCUACCAUAUUUCUUAAGGAAUGCUUUAUUUUAUGCAACUUUGGAGACAGAGAGAAUUACUAGGGUUUUGGAGAUUUUCUACUUGAAAGUGUUUUCAAUCAUUUUCUUAAGAAUAUUUUCUAUGAUUUCAAUUAUGAAUAUGCGGAACUAAUUUCUUUUGCUAGGGCGAAGUCUUGAGCCUUAGCAUGAAUAUGUGAUUUUUAUUUAAUUGCUUAUGAUUGAUUGCAUGCGUACUUUGAAUUGUUAAUCACCGGGAUAAAAUCUAUCUAAUUGUCUUAAUGCCUGAUCACCAUUAAGAUCUUUAGAAAAGUAAUUUGAUGCAAUUUUGGUCGGAAGGUUCCCUGAAAUUGACGCUGGCUUCUUGUGAUUAAUAAUUGUAAUUUCUCUUAGGAUGAAUAUCACGUCUUAAGGAUUGCAUGGUUUUUCAAAGGAUUUUCAUAAAGCAUAAUGAGUCUUUCAUGUUCAGAUUUGAUCCGAACGUCCAGACGGGUUGCAUGUUAGAUAUACGUUCUAUGUUGGAGGUUCCAAGUAGAAUAUGAAUUAGGAAAAUCUAACUUUCAAAGUGGCAUGUGUAGAUUAUAAGUAAUUGGUAAAAAUUCAUAGGAUUGCUAGGUGAUGGUGGAACUCUAGUGUUUUCUUAAUUUUAUUCUCCCAAAACUGUUUUCUUUUCUCUCUAGUUCUAAUAUUGCAGAUUGUUUAUUUUAAUUCAUUAAUUUCGUUUUUAUUUUAAUUAGGUUAUAAAAUCAAUCACUUCAAUUUCUACUUUACAAUAAUUAAAUAGAAUCUGAUUAGUUCGAAUUAUUUAAUAAUCCCUGUGGAGACGACCUUGCGAAAUCCGUUUAUACUACAAUAAUCUUGUGAUUCUUGCAAGUAAAAUAGGAGAUUUAAGCCCUUUCACAUGAGUAGUAAAAAUCCCUAUCAAGAAAAUGAAGAAAAAGGUGAUGUACGCGAAAUUCUAUAUAUACUAAAACUCAGUUCAACAAGUUUACUGUUUUUAAGUACAGUAAAAUGACUGAAUUGCCUCCGUAUUUUGCAUUCCUCUUCGUUGUGUUUUUCAGUCUCAACAGUAAAAUGAUUAAUUUGGCCUUAUUGGAUACGUGUUGGCCAUUUGUUAUUCCAUUCUUCAGCUGUCGUUGGCUCAUUUUGACAGCAAGUACUGCCGACCGCUCCUCCACUGCUGCUGUGUUUACCCUCUCUCUUCCUUCCUCUUAAAGCAACUCCACCCAUGGAGUUUGCUCGGGGGACAGGCUCCAGGAAAGGGCCCGAGGGCCAGUGGGAGUAGGUCCAGCGUUGAAGGGCCCGAGUGAGGGUGGGAGCCCGAGUUGCAGGCCUGUGGAAAAUUGACAGGCCUGCUGCCCGAGGGGGGAGGGGUCAUGCUGACGCAAGGGAGAAAAAAAAAACCAUUUUUUGUGUCAGGCUGGGUCUGGUUUUUAAAAUUUUUUUUUUCUAUAUGCAUUAUUUUCACUUUUUCUAUGAUAGGUGUUGUAUUACAGGAAGAAAAAAAAAUCAUUUUUUGUUUUCAUCAUUACUUUCUUGGCAAAAGAAUUAAAGAUAUUAUUUUUAGAUACAAUGACACGUGGCGCAACGAGAACGAUUUAAAAAAUCUUAUUCGAAAUUACAAAUAAUUAUAUUUUGUAUUAUUUAAACAAAAAAAAAAACUAAUAUUUUAUUGCCUAUUGCCAGGGGAGAACUCCAAGGGUGGAGAUGCAAAUGACAAUUACUGUUCAUUAAUGACAGUUACUAUUUAUUAAAGGCAGUUACUGUUCAAUAGGUGAAUUCAACAGUGGAUUGCCAAGGAGGACUCAAUGGGUGGAGUUGCUGUUACUCGAUCCACUACUGCUUUGAUUCAUAUGUUGUUCUGUCAACCAAAAAGCCAGAGCCUGUUUCUCGAACUCUCUCCUACGGCGGAACCACCGCCAUCAUCAGGUGCGGCAGCUCCUUUUUGAAUCUGCGUAUUUCUGUACCUUAAAAAAUUAGGGGGAAAAAGUGGGUCUUUCCUUUUUACUACUUCCCUUUGAUCUCUGCAAAAGCAAACUGAAGUUUUGAUAUUUUAUUUAUAUCGGUGAUGAUUUUCUGGUAAUUUAGUUUUUUAGAUUCACACUCAAUUUUCCUCACAAGUCGAAUCUGCAACCACGAUGUCCAUGGGAAACAGGGAGUCUGAUCGGGGAAGUUCUUGAGCCAAUUCAGGGAAAUUGAGAUCGGUAGACGCACCUUUGAGGUCUAUAGCUGCUGCAUCCUAUGCUCGAGCUGCCAUUUCAGUUGUUGGGUAUGACUAAUUUCUUUCCUUUCUGGCCAAUUUUCGACACCCAAAGUUGUUAUCUUUCAAUUUCCCACAUGGCUCUUCUGGUUCCUCGAUUCCCUUCACUCCUCCUUUCCCCAUUCCUACUCCUCCACUCUCCUCUUUCUUUAUUCUUCUUAUUUCUUCUCUUUAAUUUUUAGUGCUUAUUUCUAUAAAGCUUUUGAAAAUAUUUUGGCUUAGGAUUUUGUUUGUUUUGUGUGAUUGUACUUGCAGAGCAAGGGGAAUGUUACCCCCAAUGAUUACUUAUAAAAAAUAAAAUAAAAUAAUAAUAAUAAUAAAAAAAAAAGAGCAAUUUGGUUCUGCUUCAAACCUACAACGAGUAAGUUCCUCUGAUCUGUGAUUUUUAGGGUUUCGAAAAGGGUUAUCGGCUAGAAAUAGUUUGAGAUUUGGGGAGUUAAUGUUUUGAGAAAUAGCUUUGAAUUUUUGGUUUUAUUUUUGCUGAUUUUCGAAGUGGUUGUGGAAACCGGUUCUUUUGAACCAGUUUAAUCGGUUUUAGUGAUUGCAUGUGGAGUGGGUUUUUGAAUUUGUUUAGCCUAUCUCAAUAGGUCAAGAUUAUAUUUUCCUUCAAGAUUAUAUUUUCCUUCAUUUUUUAGUAACCGAACAGAAAAUUAACUCUCUCUCCUUUGUUUGGUUUAACUUUACCAAUUGAUACUUUAAUAGCAUGUUUACGUAAGGGUAAUCGGAAUAAAGAAAGGGAAUUGAAUUCCGAUUACGGAGUAUUCCGGUGUUUACUAAAUAUUAAGGAAUCAAAAAAGUGGUGGAGCCCACACGAAACAAGGAAUCCAAUUCCUGAAAUUGGAGGAACCAGAUUCCCUAGUUUUGUGAGGUAUUUGAAUUCCCUAAGGGCAAGGGAAUCAGGAAUGCAUAUUUUAUUCUAAUUAUGCUAUCACUUGUUUCUUAUUAUCCCAACAUUGCCCUUCAUUUGACACUCAUUAUGUCAUUUUUAAUAAAUAAAUAAAACCUAUUUAUAUUUUUUAUAUAGAUAAUUUUAUUAUAUAAAUUUAAUUAAGAAUUUAAUUUAAUUAAUUAGUAUGAAAAUAAUUUAUUUAUGUAAGGGCAAUUUAGUCAUCAACUUAGUUUUCAUUCCGAUUGAAGUGAAUUAGUAAACAACUUAUAUAGACUCAAUAUCAUUUUUGCAAUCUUUUAAUAAAUAAAUAAAACCUAUUUAUACAUGCUUAUAUAGAUGAAUUUUAUUAUAUAAAUUUAAUUAAGAAUUUAAUUAAAUUAUUAGUAUGAAAAUAAUUUAUUUAUGUAAGGGCAAUAUAGUAAUCAACCUAGUUUUCAUUCCGAUUGAAAUGAAUUAGUAAACAACUUAUAUGGACUCAACAUCAUUCCUACUCCGAUUCCUGACAGUUUUAGUAAACAACUUCAACAGGAAUCUGAUUCUGAUUCCACCUCAUUUCAAUUCCUCCUCAAUCCAAUUUCCCCUCAAUCCAAUUCCUCUCAAUUUGAUUACGGAUUAGUAAACGCGCCAUAAAAGUUUCUUAAGUUACUUCAACUAUUAAGUGUGAAAUAAUUGAAUACUUGAAAAUUGGGUUUCGUUUGAUUGUUUGUGCCAAUUGAGCUAAUCUUUUGUUGUGUAGCAACAAGGAGAAAUGAGUCGGCCGGAGGACUCUGAAAGAUAAUUGUUGUUGUUGCUGCUAUAGAUAUGCCGGCGGAGCCUGUGGAGGGAGAGUUUAGGCUUGGUUUGAGAAGUGGGAUAAUCCUCUGCAAUGCUAUCUAUAAAGUUCAAACUGGAGCUGUGCCCAAGGUGACCCUGAUCCUCUGAUCCUUUUCCAAAUUGUCACAUUUGUGGUUGUUGUUGAAUGGUUUAUGCAUAUGGAAGAAAUAUGGGAACCAUUGAAAUAUUGAAUACUUUGAUUUUGUGUAUUUUUUCAAGGAAUGGGAGAACCUUUGAAUAAGUAUGGUUCCUUAAUUGAAGCAAUUCAUGUCAUGACUGGAUCACUAUUUCACCUAUCGCCAAUGAAAAUUAUUGUCGACGAUAGGCAUUGAAAAAUCCAUAUGUUUUUAUCUGCAAAAACAUUCAGAUAUGGUGUAUCUUAAUAACUUUCUCAUGACCGCCAAAGAAAAUUACUGUAUCGACUAGGCAUUGAAAACUGCCAUUAUUUAUAAGAUGUUAUUAUCUGCAAAAACAUUCACAUAUGGUGCAUCUUAAUAACUUUCUUCUCAUGCUAUUUUAUUUGAUUCUAUAAUCAAAAUUUUGUAGUUUUUAGAUUUUGUGGAUCUUAGUAAAUUAGGUAAUACGGAGAGUUGAAUAUCAGAGUGCGCCACGAACAAACAAACCAACUGAAUAUAAAAUUUUAUUAAAUGGAAUUGCUAAGAAUGCUACAUGAACCGAAGAGACUACAUCUUGACUGACUUAUAAUUCUACGAGCUGCAAAGUACCAUAUAUAUAGAGAAUUAACCUAACCCUAAUAAGCAAGGAAACAAAACCCUAAUACUAACGGGCUAAGCCCAAAUUCAAACAAUAAAAUAAUCCUAAAUUUCAACACCCCCCCCCCGGUCAAACUCAUGGUUGUACACGUCAUGAGUUUUCCAACAAGCAAAUGUGGAUACAAGCUCUGUUAGGCGGACACGACAAGGCAAACUCCGUUAGGUGGACACGACAAGGCAAGCAUGCGAGCAAUCAAGUGAACAAACGAACAAUCCAGGUUUCAAUCAACAAGGCCCAACCAAUGGCCUUCAAACAAAUCAUAAUAGCCCAACAGAUUGUGAGCUCCAUACUUUUUUCUUUUUUUCCUCCUUUCACGCCAUAAGUUUGCCAACAAGCAGAUGUGGAUGCAAGCUCCGUUAGGCGGACACAACAAGACAAACUCCGUUAAGCGGACACGACAAGACAAGCUCCGUUAUGCGGACACGACAAGACAAACUCCGUUAAGCAGACACGACAAGGCAAGCGGGCGAGCAAACGAACAAUCUAGGCUUCAAUCAACAAGGCCCAACCAAUGGCCUUUUAACAAAUCAUAAUAGCCCAACGGAUUGUGAGCUCCAUACUUUUUUCUUUUUUUCCUCUUUUCCUGUUUUCUUUUUCUAUUUGUUUUUUUCUUUCUUUUCCUUCUUCUUUCUUUUUCUGUGCGAACAAGUGCAAACAGCGACGGCGAGACUUUUGGUUGCAGAUGGCAGGUGGUGGUGACAGCGUUCGAUGGCGAUGGCAUUCUGUUGCAGCGGUUGUUCCAGUGGGUUCGGCAUUCUGGUGUAGCGGUUAUUCGAGUGGGUUCGAAACUGCAGUAGAGUACAUGGCGAGGACAAACUCGAUCUGUGUUUGUGGUUCUACGGUCGAGCAGGAGCGGUAGUGGGGCAGACGGGUUCAAGGGUUCAGGUGGGCUUGGUGGCGGGUUUGAUGCAGGUUUGGCGGCGUGAUAGGGUUAGGUCCAAGGCGGCGGUAGGUUCAUCAGAUCCGACGCGGUGCGCAUGCAGUGACUUCAAGUGCGGGUGCGGGUCAUCAGGUGUUUCAGACUGGGUGCAGGGUGGCGAGGUGGUGCGUGUCUGGAAGAAGCAGCAGUGGUGGAUGGUUCAAACAACGGGUGCACAACGAUGAUCUCAUCAAGCAGAGACUGAUUUUAGCGAGUUUGCAACAACAGGUUCAAAUGGGUGUAGGCUGUGCAUAGCAACCACUUCAAAUUUUAUUUUUUUUAACUACGAAACCCUAACCUAGGGCACAACGAGAAAACAAAUCACAACGAAGAAGAUGACAAGACAAACAAGCUAGCUACCAAGAACAUAUUUAACCUCGGAAGAUCAAACCUGCUCUGAUACCAAGUUGAAUAUCAGAGUGCGUCACGAACAAACAAACAAACUAAAUAUAAAGUUAUUAAAUGGAAUUGCUAAGAAGGCUACAUGAACCGAAGAGACUACAUCUUGACUGACUUAUAAUUCUACAAACUACAAAGCAUCAUAUAUAUAGAGAACUAACAUAACCCUAAUAAGCAAAACGGAACCCUAAUACUAAUAGGCUAAGCCCAAAUUCAAACAAUAAAAUAAUUCUAAAUUCCAACACGAAGUACUCUUUCGCUUCUUUCAUUGAAUGUGGGUGAAUCAUAGUUGCAUAAGUAAUGAUGUAGUUCGCAAUUGCUAAAAACAUUUGGCUUACUACUCUGUCAGUUGUGCAUCUAAUCUUCUGUAGGUCGGCAUUAUUCAUGCUAUCAAAAAGCUCCAUAGUGAUCUUCUAGCCAUGGAUUAGCAGUUUCACUUCACGCAUCCGUCCAAGAAAUUUGUUGUCAGAUAAUGCCUGCAACUUGGGCUUUUCCUUUAGUAAAGCUUAUGGAUGCAUUGCAAGACUACCAAGAGAACACAUAAAGUUUUAUUACACCUCAUGCGUUUAAUAAAUUAUUUUAGCUUUCAUUUGUUUGCAAUGAAACUUUUACUAUCGUUUUACACUCCUAGAGAAUCUCACUAUAGCCCUUUUAUCUGAUUCUGCAGUCAACAAAAAAUCUUCAUUGAAUACAUAAUGUUUGAUGGAGUGACUGAUGAGGAGCAACAUGCACACCUACUCGGGGCAAAAGUUGGAAAAUUGCUAGAGACAUUUCAAGUGGUUAGUUCUAAUCUUUAUGUACUUGCAUAAUAGGAGGAACUUCAAUCCCUUUUGUGUGUUUCGUAUAAUAUAUAUAUACAAAAUAACUUUUGCAUUUGUUGUCUCCUUUCCUACAAUUCAUGAAUUAAUACCUUUUCAUCCAAUUGGUAUUCUGAGUAAAUUCACAACCAGUAAUGAAAGCAAAGUAAUGAGCUUCUUUCUUUUCUUAACUAUGUUUUUUUUUUCCAGAUCAUGGAAUGCUUUUCUUAUGCUGAGAUUGUAAUCCAAUCAAUAAGCAAGUGAAACACACAAGUUCUUCAUCGCAUGUUAGUUUUGAUCCAUUUCUAAAAAUCCUAUGCGUGGUACAAGAAAAACAUCUCUUUAGCAGCAAAGAAGAAAGAAGAGUAAAGUACUGAACAACAAUAUGAAAAGUUGGGACAUAGAAAACAAGAUAUUUUGUGUAUUAUAACUAUAUGGAUGUAAAUAAGAUAAUUUUUAUUUAUGAUUUGGUCUCUAUAGAACAUAGGGAUGUGAAUAGAUUUUGAUAUGGAUGUGAAUAAAUUUUUACAAGUCCCACACAUGUAACGAAGUUUUAAAACCCGUGCAUUGCUCGAGCUCUUUUGCUCGUUUAAGCUAAAGCGAGGCCUUGUAAUGGCAGAAAUAUAUUUCUCAAGAUUGAGCCAAUAUCCAACAGUAUGGGGAAGAACACUCUCAAUAGGGGUGAUUUUAUCCGAGUCUUACAUGUUCUAUCCUUUGUUAUCCAAUGUGUUAAAGAGGAAUUCUCAAUGUUGGUGGAACGAUAUUGAGGUAGACAUGUUUCAGAUCUAACUAUGAUACGGCCAAGCUUAUAAUAUGUCAGCAAUACUGGGAUAAAUGGACUACCCAAAGUAGGUAGUUAUCGCCUGCGAGCUUAAUGGGUAGGAGGGAGGCAACAUUCCGAGGAUCAACGUGUAAUAUUGUACGUUUGUGCACAAGAGGAAAAGGUAUUGAGGCCAGUAAAAGAAUAAGUCAAGCCAUUAAGGAAGAGGGGAAGGAAGAAAUUCUGGUGGAUGAAGAGAGGAGAAGAGAGAAUAGACAACAGAUAACAGAGAAAUUGGUUUCUUGCUUUCGCAGAUGAGCUUAAGCUCUUACCUUUGCUUAGUUAUUGAGGCAGUUUUAACAUGUGAAAUAUAGCAUUCAUAUUAAUAUUUUUGGUCGCAUAUAGAUCCUUGAAAAUUUGGAGGAUUUAUAAGAUUUGGAUUUUCGUAUGAAUUAUAUCUACUUGUAUUAGAACAGCUUUUGACACCUUAGAAAUUGUUAUGUCAUUAAACUCAUCCAUAUGCUAUAUUAGAGAGCCUAACUUCCUAUGGAACAAAAAGGACAGUCAAAUUGGAUUAGCCGCAAAAGUGCACAAGUGUCACCCUUUGAUCCUUUGUGGCAAAUAUGAAAUCAUAUUCUAAUAAACCUAUGCGUACUAGAUUCCUAGACACACGGGCAAUUUCAGUCAAAUGGACCUUACAGUUGACGGAUUACCUGCCACAUAUCGCAAUGAAAUGUGGUCGUUCAAGCAUUACUCAUAACAGACUCGAUCAACUUUGGUGCAACUAACUUCUCGUGAAUGCCUGACCAAGCAUAAAGAAAGAAAUUCAACCGUAGAUCAUGCCAUGGGGAAAGAUCCUGACCGUGGUAGUGACUAAAUCAUCCACUUUCUACGUAGCUCACUCGCUGUUGCCACAAAGUUUUUCAGCAUAUAAACCCCACAAGCACACGUCUUAUUUCAACAAGCUAGUCUCCUCUUCUAGAGUUUCCUUAGAUCAUCUAAUACAUAAAAAAAAUUCCACAUUCAUCAAAUUCGAUACUGUGACAUAUAGUGCAGCAAAAUAAGUUUGAGCACUUAAUUAAGAGCGAGAAACCAUGGCAGGCGGUGGGUUUGGGGCCGCAUCGGGAGGCGGAGACUUUGAAGCAAAGAUCACGCCUCUUGUGAUCAUUUCUUGCAUAAUGGCCGCUAGCGGAGGCCUCAUGUUUGGUUAUGAUGUUGGUAUCUCAGGUACAUAUACGUGACUCAAGAGCUUUCCGUCGCAUCCACACAUACAAUUAACUAUUAACGUACGUGUUUUGUAGAAAAUUUAUUAGAUUUCACGUAUAAUUCUGUUUAAUUUGAUAUAUGGAUAUACAACGCAGGGGGUGUUACAUCCAUGCCCCAUUUCCAGAAGAAAUUCUUCCCGGUUGUGUAUAAGAUGACUCAAGAGCCUGGACUUGAGAGCAACUACUGCAAAUAUGAUAAUCAAGGCUUGCAGUUGUUCACAUCUUCAUUGUACCUGGCUGCUUUAAUGUCAACCUUCGUUGCCUCGUACACAACCAGAUCACUAGGCCGAAAGCUAACUAUGUUUAUUGCCGGGAUAUUUUUCAUAAUCGGAACAGUUUUUAAUGCUGCAGCUAUUAACCUUCUCAUGCUUAUCAUAGGGAGGAUCUUGCUUGGUUGUGGAGUUGGUUUUGCUAACCAGGUAUAUAGUAUAAAUUUGUAAUAAUCUUUUCUUUUUUUUUUUCAAUAAACUGCCUGCUACUCAAUUGCUAAUGCCAGCUGGAUUUUCCUGUUAAAUGUUUUUGAACACAAUACGUUUACUAAGAAAUAUACGUAACUACAGGCGGUACCGCUUUUCCUUUCGGAGAUUGCACCCACAAGAAUUCGAGGGGCACUUAACAUCCUCUUCCAACUCAAUAUUACCAUUGGCAUUCUUUUUGCAAACCUUAUCAAUUACGGAACUAACAAGUAAGCCGGCCCAAUCUUGCUAGCUAAUUCAAAAGACAAGAUCUGAAGUUCUGAGCCCACAAAUUUUAGCGUAGUAAUAUGUUCCAAUCACUUGAAAGAAUAUACAACUAAGUAAUAUUUUGUUUACCAUACAUGCGCAGAAUUACGGGAGGAUAUGGAUGGAGGGUAUCGCUGGGUUUGGCUGGGAUUCCAGCCGGUUUGCUAACCUUGGGGUCGCUCAUUGUGGUAGACACUCCUAACAGUUUGAUUGAACGAGGCAAGUUGGAGGAAGGAAAAGCAGUUCUUAAAAGGAUUCGUGGUGUUGACAAUGUGGAUCCAGAAUUCUUAGAGAUUGUUGAGGCAAGUCGGGUGGCUAAAGAAGUGAAGAAUCCCUUCCAAAAUCUCCUUAAGCGUAGGAACAGGCCACAACUGGUCAUUGCAGUUAUGAUGCAGGUGUUCCAGCAAUUCACUGGCAUCAACGCAGUCAUGUUCUACGCUCCGGUUUUGUUUCAGACGUUGGGUUUUAAGAGCGAUGCCUCCCUCUACUCAGCUGUUAUAACAGGAGCUGUCAACGUGCUAUCAACCGUUGUAUCAAUCUACUUUGUUGACAAAGCUGGUCGCCGCAUGCUCUUAUUAGAAGCCGGGGUCCAAAUGUUCCUUUCUCAAAUGGUGGUUGCAAUAGUGAUGGGACUCAAAGUCCAGGAUAACUCUAACAACCUUACCCAAGGCAUGGCUAUUCUUGUUGUCAUUAUGGUUUGCAGUUUUGUUGCCUCCUUUGCAUGGUCUUGGGGACCUCUCGGGUGGUUGAUUCCUAGUGAGACUUUCCCUUUGGAAGCUCGCUCAGCUGGCCAGAGUGUGGCUGUGUGCAUCAACAUGCUCUUCACCUUUGUUAUAGCACAAGCCUUCCUCUCAAUGCUUUGCCAUAUGAAGUUUGGCAUCUUCCUGUUCUUUAGUGCUUGGGUCCUUGUCAUGACAAUCUUUGCAAUGUUCUUAAUUCCCGAGACCAAGGGUGUCCCAAUCGAAGAGAUGACAGAAAGAGUCUGGAAGCAACAUUGGUUCUGGAAGAGAUUCAUGGAUGACUUUGAAGAUGAUCCCAAGGGCAAGGCCCAUGUUUGAACUAUCUCACCUGGCCACCGGUCUCUUCCUCACAGUUUAUUACAUUUCAUGAUUUCCUUGAGUUUGAAUCUUAGGACCAACUAAUAACUCUUCCUUUACUUCUAGCUAGUUGCCUCACAACGGGAGCUCUCUGAAUGCCAAAUGCUUUGUUUAUGUUUUGAGAUGCGCUAUUUGCACUUCCGAAUAAACUCCUCUUGUACUUCCCUUUUGCAUUCUAUUCUUUUGAUCUCUUAUCCGUUUAUUAGUUGUGUUUUAACAUGCUAGGUCUAAUUUCUGAUACAAUAUUCAUCCGUUUAUAAACAUCACCAUCUUCUAUGGGAUAAGUUAAUUAAUAAAUGGUAUGUCAAGGCAAUAAAAAGGAACAAAUUUAAAGCAUUAAUAAGAUAAUCUCUUGGAGGAAGUUGCUCUUUAUCACGUCCUACAAUGAUAUAUUCUGCCACAUAAUCAUUGCUAGAAUCUUUAAUUAGUAAAAUCGCGUAUACAAUAUAUUUGCAGAAGUAAGUUUUCUUCUAUUGAUACGAAGACUGUAUACAAAGAGGUUCACUUAACAAAGAAGUAAUUUAGCCUACAUUCUACAUAUACGAAAGGAAUAUAAACUCCUUAUACUAAACAACUACAAAUUUUUUUCCUAUACUAAGCCAAAACUACCAAGGAUACUAUCGUUGACUUCUCAUUCUUAACACUCUCCCUCAAGUUAGAGAGUGGAUGUUGAGAACUCUCAACUUGUGUACAACAGUUGAGAAAGUUUUCUUUCCCAAUGCUUUUGUGAAUAUCAUCUGCGAGUUGGUGUGAAGAGGGAAUAUAUUUGGUGACAACUAAAUCAUCUUGUAUAUCUUAUCUUGAAUAAAGUGGCAAUAUGUCACCAUAUGUCUAGUUCAUUCAUGAAAAUUGGAUUAGUAGCAAUAUGGAGACCCAUCUUGUUGUCACAAUGUAGUAAGGCUGGUUUUGGAUGUAAUAAACCCAAAUCCCUUAGAAGAUAUCGAAGCCAUGUCAGUUUCACAACAAGUUCUAGUCAUGGUUCUAUAUUAGGCCUCAAAGCCGACCAUGAGGGUGUGCAAGUGGUGCCACCCGUAGGGCUCCCAAAUUUUCGAUUUUAGUUUACUUGUAUAUUGCAUAUAUAAAUUUAAACAUGCAAUGAAAUAAUAAUUUGUUCUCUCAAAGCUAGUGUUUUGUGCGUAUUAUCCGUGAACCGUGAACUGGGUUCAAGUCCGCUCAGUGGCGUUUAUUUGUGUGUUUUAUUUUUAAUUAUUUUGGUAUUUAAAAUGGUUUUGUGUUUUAUUUUAGGGGCUUUUAGAUCCAGGUCCAAAAACAUAUAGUAUUUUUAGGAGUGACUCCAGUUAUCUAAUUAUAUGUUUUUAUUUCUUUUAUACUCCUUUUAUAUUUUCUAAAAAUAUUAGAAAUCAAUUAAAAUCUUUUAAUAUUUUGCAUUUUUCAACUCCAAAAUAUCUAAUUAAUAUCUUAUAAACAAAAAUAAUUAAUAUACUAACAUAAAUCUAUCUGCAAAACAUUCUACCCUUAGUCAAGUAGCAAAAUAUAUGAAUAUAUAUUAUACCUAUAAGUGACAUAUGAAACCUAACUAAAAGGUAGAAAAAAAACAUAAUAUACCUACAAGUAAGACAUAUUAAUCUGUGACAGGUUGACUAAGAAAACCUAUGAUAUAGGUUGAUUAUAAAAAUUUUAAAAAAAAUCUAUAAAUGGGUUAAAACAGGAGGAAGAACAAAAAAUAACAGAACAAAAAAAUAUAAAAAGAGAUAAUUAGGAAGAAAUUUGAUUUUUACAAUAAUUUUUUUCUUUUAAGAGAUAAUUAUUGAUAAUUAAUAAUUAAAUUUAAAGAAUUUGACUUAUUUUAAUAAAUUGGACCAUUCCUACUAUUGGCUCAAAAAAUUGGAGUUAUAUCAAGUUUCCCCUUUAUUUUAAUUUAUGUUGGUAUUUAAAAGCAUGAUGUUUUGAACCCAAAAACUUAGGGGAUGCAAAUAGGCACUUAGCCACCACACCAAGAUUUUUUUUUUCUUUUACACUAUCUAUUUAUACAUUAUCAUAAAAUUUAAAAUGUAAAAGAAAACAUAGCAACUAAAAUGUUAGACUUUCUAAUGACUUUUAUUCAUUUUUGUUGGUAUUUAAAAAUAAGGAGUUCCAAACUUAAAAACAUAGGGAUGCAAAUAGGUACCUAAGCACCGGUCCACCACACCUAAAUUUGUUUUUAUUUAUCUCAGUUUAUACAUAAUCAUAACAAUUAAAAUGUAAAAGAAAGCAUAGCAAUGAAAAUUCUAUAAAUUUUAAGGGCCUCCGUUAAAGUCCCCAAAAUCUCAGGACAAGGAUUUACAAGAAGAUGUUUCAGUGGCUUAAGCCCCGGGAUUUUUUGAUCCUCAACGUCCUAAUCAUGUGUGUAAGUUACAUAACACGUUAUAUGGCCUCAAACAGACUCCUAGUGCAUAGUUUUAGCGCUUCAGCAACUUUAUUCUUCGUCAAGGUUUUGUGCAGAGCAUAGCCGACCCCUCUCACGUAGCCGGCUUUGGGAGAGUGCGACCGGUUCUAUGGCACAGGGCCCCAAAAAUAUUUUUUAUUGAAUAUAAUAAUAUAUAUAAAUACUAAUCAAAUCAAAAUAUAUACAUAUAAAAAUCCAAUGGGCCAAGACUACUACCUAAAAGCCAUGUCAGGCUACUACCUAAAGCUAAAAGCCAUCACCCAUCAGACUUAGACUACUACCUACGGCUACAACCUAUACGAAAAUAUAUAAAAUAAUAAUUAAUAAAAGGCAAACCGGCAAAGUUAAUCAAUUAAAGUGGAAAACCCACUGACCGAGGUAAAAUUCAGAUACACUCUCUCACACCAAAAUCCCAACAUUGCGUAACUGCGUUCCACUUUUCUUCUUUUCACACCAGAGUACCAGAGCACCAAAGUCAAAAUCUCAGAUGUUGUGCCUGCCAGUGUCCCAGACUCCCAGUGUAAUUCCCUUCUCUCUUCGUUCCACUGUUAUAUUUCCCACAAAUUAUUAAACCCUAAUUUAUAAAUUUAUGAAAUUAAAGAGAAACUUUCAAAUUAUUAGAGUGAUGUGGACUUCGAUCAAAGUAAGAUAUUUACUAAUUUAAGUAUAUUGACUCGAAAUUUGAAGAUUUGGGUAUUUCUCAUCUAUAAUGAUUUUUAUUUUUAUUUUUGUACUUUUCAGAACAAAAUCAAAAGAAGAGCAAUCACAAAAAUCAUUAGACGCACACGUAUUACGGAUUAUCAGGUUUCAUUGUUCAUACUUUUUAUAAUUUUUUUGUGAUCUUGUUUGAGAUAUAAAAGAUGGCACCUACUAGAAAAUAUCCAUCUGACUACUUGAAGCGUCAAAUAAAAAGAAAAGUUGAACAAUUGAUUCAGUCUCAAAAAGGAGCUAUUGAUAGGUUCUUUUUUUAAGUUUUAUUUAUUUCCAUAUUGCUUUUUAGCAUCAAUACAUUGUUCAAUUUUUUUAAGAUGUCUUAUAAGGGGCCCCUUUUAUGAAUUUCGCAUAGGGCCCCUGAAAUAUCAGAGACGGCCCUGCCCCUCUCUAUUCACUUUUCAUCACUAUACGGUUCAUCUCAUCCCUUUACUUUAUGUGGAUGAUAAUGUAUUGACUAGCAAUGAUUCUUGGAAAUAAAAGAUAUUGGUUUUCUUUACUAUUUUCUAGGUUUUAAGGUUCAUCCCACUUCUGCUGGUAUUCAUAUGUCUUAGACUAAAUAUGCUCUUGAAUUACUUAAGCAGACCAAUAUGCUUGACUGCAAACCUUCCAAUGCUUUUAUUGCUUCACGUGCUUAAUUGUCUAAUCAGGAUGGUAUUCCACUUUCUGACUUGUUCGAUUUUCGGUACUUAUUAGGCUUCUUGCGGUAUCUUACUUUGACUCUUCCGGACAUUGCUUAUGCGGUUAAUCAUAUUUCUCAAUUCAUGUCUUGCCUAGCUGACCCCUCUCUAUUCACUUUUCAUCACUAUUGUACGGUUCAUCUCAUCCUUUUACUUUAUGUGGAUGAUAAUGUAUUGACUAGAAAUGAUUCUUGGAAAUUAAAGAUCUUGGUGUUCUUCACUAUUUUCUAGGUUUUGAGAUUCAUCCCACUUCUGCUGGUAUUCAUAUUUCUCAGACUAAACAUGCUCUUAAAUUACUUAAGCAGACCAAUAUGCUUGACUGCAAGCCUUCCAAUGCUUUUAUUGCUUCACAUGCUUAAUUGUCUAAUCAGGAUGGUACUCCGCUUUCUGACCCGUUCAAUUUUCGACACUUAUUAGGCUUCUUAUAGUAUCUUACUUUGACUCUUCCAGACAUUGCUUUUGCGGUUAAUCAUAUUUCUCAAUUCAUGUCUUGCCCUACUCACAUGCAUCUUAUUGUCGCUAAACGUGUUUAAGUUAUAUUAAGGGCUCUCUUGAACAUGGCAUUUCAUUCAGGCACUCUUCUAUGCCUCCUUUGCUUCAUAAGUAUUCUCAUGCUGAUUAAGCUGGGUGCCUGGACACACUCGCCGCUCUACUUCGGGUUUCUUACUAUUGCAUAGCCAGAUUUAAUAUCGUGGAGCUCCACCAAACAUCCCAUUGUUUUCAAGUCUAGUGCUCAAUUGGAAUAUUGUGCCUUGGCUCAUGCUUGCACCAAAUCUAUUUAGCUCACCUAUGUGCUUUGUGAAUUUCGGUUUCCGGUGCUUCACCCCACUCUAUUGUUUUUGUGAUAAGUUGAGCACAACAUACAUGGCUGCUAAUCUGAUAUUUCAUGCUCGGACAAGGAAUAUUGAGCUUAAUUAUCACUUUGUCCGUAAACAGGUCAAACUUGGAAUCACAAGGUACAAUUUAUUCAUUUUGUUGAUCAACCUAUGGAUGUUCUCACCAAGGGCUCUCCAAGCGGCGUUACUUCUCCGUUCCAAACUUGUCUCUCCACAACCACCAAGUUUGGGAAGGGCGGUUUGUAUAGGAGAAUCCGGUUAGGAUUCUAUUGGGUUAGAUCUUGUAAAUUCAUGUGAACUUAGAAUUACUUGUACGACAAGUCAUAGGCUAGUAUAUAUUUGUACCUUGUGUUAUAAACACAUUUGACUCAAUUAUAAUUCUACACAUUGUUCAACAAUGUAUCCGUCGCAAAUUUCUAUUCAAAUUCGAUCUGUAAGCUAUUUUUUGUUUAAUUAAAAUUCUUGUGUGGCUUUUGUUUUUUGUUUUUUUGUUUUUGAACAAACAAUAUUUCUUGUAUGGUUUAUUUGUUUCACAUAUUUUCUAUUGCUCUAACUAGCACUACAAAAAAAAUAGUCAUUACCGACAAAGAUUUUCCAAGGGCCCCAAAAAACCGUCGUAAAAAGCACAUUUUGUGACCAUAAAAUAUGGGUCGUCGGUAACAUGGCAUGAAACAAAUUUUUAUUACCAACACACAUAAUGUCCUUGGAAAAAGUCCCAAGUUUCGUCGGAAAUGCACUUUUGUUUGGCGGGAAGAAUUGGCUCCAAUUGUAUUAAUGACGAGUAAAGUUUUUAUCGGAAAUAGAAUGGUUAUUUCCGAAGGUUUGCUCAUGUUGACGAAAUUGAUUUAGUAUUUUCGAGGGAAAAGAAGUCCUCUCGGUAAUGUUUUUAUAUUUUUGAGGGAAAAAAAAGUCCUCUCAGUAAUACUUUUAUAUUUUCGAGGGUGAUUAGUUAUUGUCAGAAGUAUCAUAUUUUUUCUUUCCUUCAAAUUUUUUUCUUUGUCAGAAUAAAUUUUUAAGGCAUAUGAUUUUGUUGGAAUCAAUUAUUUACCAAUGGUCACAUGUGUCGUUGGAAUAUUCUUGAAAUAAGUUUGAUGCUUAAUUUAAAUUCUAUAAUAAAUAGAUCAUAUAACUUAGAAUACAUAUGGAGAAUAUUGGACCAUAAAAUUAAAAUAAAAUCGUUGAGCAAAAAGGCAUAUAAUUUAACAUAAUAUUUAUUAUAUGAGAAAGAAAUAAUUUGCAUGUCUUUGCUAACUCAUAACAUGUAUCCUGGACAUUGAACAAAGUAUAACCACAUCACUUCCACAACUAAAUUGUGAGUUUUUGUUUAUAACCGUCAAAAGGUUUCGUCCCGUUACCUAAUAUAAGAAUGUCUGUUUUUUGCGAUUUUUAUGUAUGUGAUCUUGGAGCAUAUACAAAAUAGUUUGACGAUUGGAUCGUUGAAACUAGUUUUGUAGAAUGUGUAUUUCUUCAAAACGAUAGAUUCAACAAACACUUGGAGUUUAUUUUAUACUUCCAUUAAGUAGAACAUAAUAUUUUGUGGUACCCACUAGUGCAAAUAUUUUAAAUUGAAGAUCAAAUUCUUUCAUCGUACUCUUAUAGGGUUGAGGAGUGUAUUUGUAAAAAAUCAUCAAAAUCAGAGUCAAAAUAACCGUUAACUUGUGAGUUUUUGUUUAUAACCGUCGAAAGGUUUCGUCUCGUUACCUAAUAUCUGAAUGUUCGGUUUUUGUGAUUUUUUGCGUAUGUGAUCUUCGAGAAUAGACAAAUAAGUUUGACGGUUGGAUCAUUGAAACCAGUUUUGUAGAAUGUGUAUUCCUUCAAAAUGAUAGAUUCAACAAACACUCGGAGUUUAUUUUAUACUUCCAUUAAGUAGAACAUAAUAUUGUGUGGUAUCCACUAGUGCAAAAUUUUUAAAUUGAAGAUCGAAUUUAUUCAUCGUACUCUUAUAGGGUCGAGCUUGAUAUUACGAGAGAUUAUAUAUAUAUAUAUUUACAUUUUUUGCACUUCUACAACAACAGUUAAAUUUUAUUCUAUGGUUUAUGAGAUUAUAGUGACAAAUUUUGGAAUUGACCUUUUCUCAAAAGUUGUCGAGCUUGAUAUUGCGAGUGUUUGUAUAUAUUUUUGUACUUCUACAUUAAUUAAAAAACUAUUAAAAUCUUAACACUACUAGAAAAUCUUAUUUUGCUGACAAAUUCUAAGUCGACAGAGUAAAAUUUUAUCGGCACAAGAGUCCUCUUCCGACUAAAAUUUUAAUUUGUCGGCUAAAUAUUCAAGCCAAAACCAAUUUAUAGCAUUAAUUUUAGCCGAGAAAAUUCGAAUGUUAAUCGACCAUCAUUUUGUCGGCAGAAAUGCAAUGUCCCGAUGAGUUUAAUUUUGACGGGUAAACUAUCCUUCCCUGCUAUCUUAGAAUACUAGAUGACGAUUUCGGGGCAACAAAAAAUAUUUCCUCGGUUGAGGGUAAAACUAUUAAACAAAUAUGAGGCGCGGAGUUAGAAAAAAAGAAAGAAAAGAAUUAAGCGCUUUAAUCAAACACGAAGCUGUUGUCUCUCCGUCCCACUCCUUCUCCCUCUCCCUCUCCCUCGUCGCUGCAAAUACACAGACCGACCGACUGCCUCCUUCCGCUGGAGAUCGAAACCGGCGUCAAAUUCAAAGCCUCAAAAAGGUUUUUUUUUUUCUUUCCCUUCUAAUUGUCAUCUUCAAUUCUAGUUCUGGUGCAUAAACCCAUCAGUUGUCUCUAUAAUUCUCUUAGGGUUUUCAAUUUUCUUUUUUGAUUUGUUUUGUCAAAAUUGAAAUGGAAUUUGUGGGCUUGAAUUUGUAUUAGGUUGCGAGCCUAUUGUGUGUUAUGCUUAUUAGGGUGGAUAAAAAAAAACCAUCAAAGCUGCUAAGAACUCGAAGGUCAGUGAUCUCUUUAAGUGAUUAUCUUCCUUCUCCUCUCUAAUUCUAUGUCUGCCAGUUCAAUUUGUAGGAUUUAAUAUAGGGUUUUAAGUUGGAAAAUUUAAUUUAACCUUUUAAGUUGCAGGGCUUGGUGUAUACGACAAUUUGGAUUAUUAAUUUUGAUUGCUGAUCCACUUCCUAAUCCCCACAUGUUAUUUGUGACUCGACCGAACACAGAGGGGCGAAUGUUUUGUGGAAGGGAUUGAGGAACAGGGCGAAGGUUUUGGAAUCUGCACUAGAUGAUGCUCAUAGUAAAGAUUGGUGUAAUGUCACAUCUCAAUUCUUUUGUUCCAAGUAAUGUUGUAAUAUAUAACUUUUUCAAUUGUGGCUUCCUGUUAUCUAUGAUUGGUUGUGAUGUUAAUGUUAAAUUACAUUCUUUUUGGUGUUCUAGCUAUGUUGAUCGUGGUUUCUGGUUUUGAUUGUGACCAAAAUUUUGUUGUGGUUGAGUCUUAGUUUACUAUGUAACACGCAGGAUCCGACAUUGAAGAAUCAUGCAAGGAAAGUGAUGUAGAGAAGACGAGAGCUGCAACUGCAGUUAAUAACAUCUUGUCCGGAGUUAAUGGCCAUAUUAGUUUGUGGGAAGAGAUCCAGCUUAUCAGGGGUAGGCCUUCUCAGUUCAGCCUUAAUUUUAUCUCUUACAAUCUUACUGAUGAUUGUACUUUUUGUUUGCUUUGAUAUGGUUGUGUUGCCUUGCAGAACUGAUCUGCACUUACCAGACAUGCCUUUAGUUUAUGCAAGUGAUGCCUUCUUCAAAUUGACAGGUAACAUGUACAAUGUUAGCCAUUUGCUAGGAUCUCUCUAAACCAUUCUAAACUCCAUGUUGUUUGCAAAUCUUUUGAAUAAUCCAACAUAUGUAGUUGUUACACAACUCAUAUGUAGAUGUGGUAACAUGUGCAAGUCUAUAUUAACUUAGUCUUCUCUUCAUCGAAAUUAUAAUAAUAAUACUAUUAAAUUAGUCUUGUUAUUUUUAUUCCAGGUGCGCGUGAUUGAAGUUAAUGUAGUUGCACUUGCUUAUGAGGCUGGUGAUGGUGAAUUUUAUCUCAAGUAUAUCGUAUAAAUUAUCCAUCUGUUAUGUUUUCUCAUGGGUUCCUAACUUGUGUUACUCUCCCAUUCAGCUGAUGACAAGAAUAUAUUGUAUAUUUUGUCCCUCUAUUGUGCACAACACACUGAGCAAGGAGCUUUGUACAGGUAAGUUUGAUUGUGCUAGGAAUAUAUUGUAUGUUUUGCUUUCUCUGCCUUGUGUUUAUUCCAAGUACAUGGACGAAUAGUUUGAUUAUGUCUAUCCUAGACAUGAGCAAGGAGCAUUGUGUAAGCAAUUUUGAUUCCCCAAUAAGUUACAAUUGUCGUCAUUAAUACAAUUUGAUCAAGUUGUGAGAAAUUUUUUUAUGUUUGAGGAUUUUCUUUGUAUUCUUGAGGGCUACUAAUUAAUCCCAGAGUUGAAUAUCUUUUAAUUAUUAUUGCGCAACUUAUUGUACCUUCUUUCAUUCAUUUUGAUUUGCAUCUUAUUAAGGGAUUAAAGAGUACCUCUCAAAUGGCAGGUGGUCUGAGAUGUUGAUUGCAAGGUUUGAAAUAUCUUUUACUAUAUGCUUGAUUACAUGAGUACAUGCUUUAUCAUCCAAGAUGCAAGUGAAAUUCAAGUCUGACUAUAUGCUUGAUUACGGGAUUACAUGCUUUCUUGUUGACAAAUUGGUUAAGUUUUCAUUGUUUAGUGUAACUAUGGUGUUAAUUGCAGCCCAUCCCCAUUUUCUAACAGAUUGUUAUGUUAAAGUAUCUUCAAUUGAAUGUAUCUUUUUCAUGAUGUGUGAAUCAGUGCAGCUCCAUAAUGUUAUUACUUAUAGAAAGAUUCCUAGCUACAAUUUGAUUGUUUCGGUUUUAAGGAUGCUCUUUCUUAUGUUGUCAUACAUAAUAAUUACCAUUUUGUAUUAUUUUUGCAGGAUAUUAUUGUGAAGCUACUGCUAAACCGAUACUGAGGAAUGGGAGUAGGAUAGGAUUAUUGUAUAAUAUAAUACUUUGUAUAACCAUUGUACAUAUACAUAUUACUAAUCAAAGCAGCAUUAUUAGAAAUUAUUUUGUGUGUUUUCAAGCAUUUUUUUUUAAUGAAUUAAAAUUCUUUCCCGACAAAGCUAAUUUUGUCGGUAGAGUAAGGCAGUGCCGACAAAAUAUCUUUUCCGACGGACACAUCUUGUUGGCAAAACAUUGCAUUUUGUAGGUUUAAAUAUCCUUUUCCGACAGAAUUUUUUGUUGGGGUUUAAGAAUGCUAGCAAAAUAUGUUUUGUCGGAAAAGAACCACUUUAUAGCCGACGAAAUGUUGAAUUUUGUCGGCUAGAGUCUUGCACGACAUGCUUUGCGUGACAAAAUGGCCGACAAAUUUUUUCGUCGUGAAAGAGUCUUUACCGACAAAUUUUGACUUUUGCCGACAAAUUCAUUUUAUCGGUAAAGUCAAAAUUUCUAGUAGUGUAACUACAAUAAUAACCAUAAGAUUUAAUCUUACAUAUGUGAGAUUAAAUCCUUACCGUUGAAUUUAAUCUAGCAAUUAAAUCAUAAAAGUGUUUUUGGCGGGCUGCCAAAAUUUUGGCAUGGCACCCAAAAACUAAACUAUAUUUCCAAAGAGAACGCCAUUUAGUGCUCUCCUCAUUUUCAUUUCUCUCUUACGACUUCUCUGCCUUUCCUCUUUCAGAAACAAAACCCUAGCCUCCAUCCUUCAUUUCUCAAAGUCUCUCGCAGCUUCUCUCUCUCCAUCGCUCGGUCGCAAUCCAUGCCCUCCUCUCCAAAAUCUCACUCCCUGUACAUUUUUCUUUGCCUUGUUUGCUUACACGAUGUGAACCCUAAUUUUUUCUAUUUCUUUGGGAAUCUCAGGUACUCCCAAUACUGGAUCUUUGUCUUCUUCUCCAACCAUGAGAUCUCACCAGCGUAUGUCUCGGUGGAUGAGAUUUUAGAGGCGGUGGCGGCUUUGGCAUAAUCGCCAUUGCAAGUCGAAAUGGGAAUCGAUCUUCGAGAUCGAUUGAAUUAUAGGGGGCGAAUGUCCACCAAUGAUGGCGAAAAGAGGAUUCAUCCAACCUAGCUUUUCUUGUUUGAUAUUUUCCUAAUUAUCGUAUUGAUUUAUUCAUAAUGUUUCUGUUCUAGAAAUUGGUCGGUGAUUUUAUACAUUGGUUUAAAGAAUAACAUUUAGUUAUGUAUGAUAAUUAAAAUUUUGGUUUUUUUUUCUGCAGGUUUAGUAGUAAUUACUAGUUGUUUUGUUUGUUUUACAACCCUUUUUUACUGUUUCAUUAGCUAGGAAGAAUCAAAUGGGUUCCAGUUAAUUGACUAAUCAAUUUACUAAGAGUAAUUUCAACUGGGAUUUUAAUCUAACUGUUAGUGGGUGGAAAUCCAUGCCAAAUAGGGUAUGUAUGUCUGCAUGAUUGUUUUUUGCCAAGCUCAAUGGUUUUGUGAUGAGAUGUUUCAAUUCUCUACAUUGUUUCAAGUACUAAAUACCCAUAGGAGAUCUCUGGAUUCAACGCUGGACAUGUCCAUUUUUCUUUCAGGAAACACCCUGAGAUGAAAUACUGAUGUUUGAGAAUUUUAAUAUAAAUUUUGAGUGAUGUUUCAUUCUUAAGCUUUACAGUUUCCAGUUAUAUUUGCGCAAAGGACUUGCAGAAAUGUAAACAUUUGAUAUUAAUUUUUGGGCUAAUGAUUGAUUUGGUUUAUCGCAUUGGUUUGGUUAAUUUAUAUUUGCAGAAAUAUAUGUAUUCAGUAGGUUCAUAAUCUAAUCAUGUGCUUAUCUUUUUUUAAAGUGCUUUCCUUAAUAUAAUUUGUCAAGAGUUCAAUUGCAAAGGAAUACAUGCGUAGAAAGGUUUAGAGGCAGAAACUGUACAUAAAACGCUAGUUUUAGAGGUAGUGUGGUUGAUAAGAAUAUCUAGAAACUUGAUUGUAAGUAAGUUCUUGGCUGCAUUUACUCCAUUCUCUGCAUAUGCAAUGCUAAUUUUGCAUUACAUGCUCUUGUUGGAGUUAAUUUUGUAUAUCUGUGCAAGUCUUCACUGGUUAAUUUUUGGCUUCAUGUGUGGACUGUUGGAGACUAUGCAGAUGCUUAUGUCUAUGCAGAUAGAGAGACAACAAUUGCUGAGGCUCAAGCAUUAGGUGCAGUAUUUCACUCUCGAAGUCCUUUCUUUGGAGGUGUUCAACUAUGCAUAUAGUUUAACGUUAGAAUUGUUAAAAUGUGCAUAUAGUUUUACUUUCCUUGUAUUUUUAGAUUCUUUGGAUUUAUAGCAUCCUUUGAUCGUAGGGUGGUACGAGAAAAAUUGAAGAAUGUAUUGGAGGUGUGUUUAAUUUUCACUUCAACUACUCACUUGCAUUAUUUAUGGUAUAGAUUGGUGGUUGCUAUGUUCACACCUUGAGCUAAAAUUAUGCAAGGCUCUUCAUUAGAGCUUAUGUUUAUUUUCAGAUUUUCAUUGUUUGGGUUUCUUACCAAUUGACAAUUAUAUUGUGCUUGAUAUAAUUUUUUUUUUCUUGCAGAAUAAAGAUAAUAAUUGUGGAUCAAUGUUCGUAGCACUACAUUCGAACUCCUUGACAGUUGGUUAAAGUGGACAUGAAAAACUAGUGAUAUAAGACAUAUCAUAGGACUGUAACAAGUACAUGUAAAACUUUUACAUGUAUUUUUUUGUAUAUGUAGUUGAAUAUAUGAUUAUUAAUAUAAAACAAUUCUUUCAAUAAAAAUUGGCAUUGAAGAUAUUAUUAAAUUAAAAAAAAAUUGUAUUUGUAUCCUUUUAUUUUUGCCGACGAAGUAGGAUCAACGGAAAUGUAUAAUUCCAACAACUCCUGACCCUCACAAAUAUGUUUUUGUGUGUAUUUUCAACAAUUCUCAAUUGUUGGUAAUCAUAAUUCCAACUAUUGUGCACUCUUGUAAAAAACAUUUUACAACAACAACAACAACAACAACAACAAAGCCUUUUCCCACUAAGUGGGGUCGGCUAUAUGAAUCCUAGAACGCCAUUGCGCUCGGUUUUGUGUCAUGUCCUCCGUUCGAUCCAAGUACUCUAAGUCUUUUCUUAGAGUCUCUUCUAAAGUUUUCCUAGGUCUUCCUCUAUCCCUUCGGCCCUGAACCUCUGUCCCGUAGUCACAUCUUCGAACCGGAGCGUCAGUCGGCCUUCUUUGCCCAUGUCCAAAUCACCGGAACCGAUUUUCUCUCAUCUUUCCUUCAAUUUCGGCUACUCCUACUUUACCUCGGAUAUCCUCAUGCCCAAUCUUAUCCUUUCUCGUGUGCCCACACAUCCCACGAAGCAUCCUCAUCUCCGCUACACCCAUUUUGUGUACGUGUUGAUGCUUCACCGUCCAACAUUCUGUGCCAUACAACAUCGUUGGCCUUAUUGUCGUCCUAUAAAAUUUUCCCUUGAGCUUCAGUGGCCUACGACGGUCACAUAACACGCCGGAUGCACUCUUACACUUCAUCCGUCCAGGUCGUAUUCUAUGGUUGAAAUCUCCAUCUAAUUCUCCGUUCUCUUGCAAGAUAGAUCCUAGGCAGCAAAAACGGUCGCUUUUUGUGAUCUUCGCUAGAUUGCUCCGGUCAUUAGUGUGGAUAAGUAUAUAAAUGAAUAGAGAUAGGAAAGCAAACACAAGAUGUACGUGGUUCACCCAGAUUGGCUACGUCCACGGAAUAGAAGAGUUCUCAUUAAUUGUGAAGGGUUUACACAAGUACAUAGGUUCAAGCUCUCCUUUAGUGAGUACAAGUGAAUGAUUUAGUACAAAUGACAUUAGGAAAUAUUGUGAGAGAAUGAUCUCGUAAUCACGAAACUUCUAAGUAUCGGAGUGUGGUAUCGUCUUGACUUGCCUUAUCUGUCUCAUAAGUAGAUGUGGCAUCUUCUCUGGAAGUACUCUUCCUCCAUCCAGGGGUGGUAUCUUUAACUGGUGGAGAUGUACAAGGUAAUGUAUCAAUUUCACUUGAAGCUUACUUGUAGUUUCAGGCUUGGUCAAGCGCGAUACAAACCAUGUAGUAGGAGUCUCCCAAGUCGCCGAGCUAGGGGAUCUGCUGAAAGAAGUGACAGACAAGGUAAGCAAUCAGAGCUCCGGCUGAUUGUUCACCUUCUCCCCAUCUUGCAGCAGCAUGAAGGAUAAAAAGAAGAAAGAUGAGAAGAGAUGAUAUGGGAUACUUUUGCUUUUGAAGAAGUAACUUUCCACAGGCUUAUUCUUGAACUGAGCUGGAGGGUUUUCUGGUUUCCUCCAGAGCCGACUGAAGAAUUUGAGGGUCAAAACAAGUCCAUCAAAUCUAGAGUACGUUCGACCCUGCUGAUAUGGGAUACUUUUGCUUUUGACAGAGUAAUGGAUGUAUCGGCACGUGUGCUGUUACGCUUGUCUCCACAUGCUUCCUUGUAUCCUUCGCACUUGCCCUAUCUGUUCCUCAAGCAGAUGCGGUAUCUUCCCUGGAAACAUAAGAUGUUGAAGAUGAGUACUCGAGAGCAAUGCCAGGUAAGUAAUCAGGUAAGGGGUUCCAGGCAGUCAGUUCCUGGCUGGAAGCUUGAUUCCAAGUGCUGACUGAUGAUUGCUCUCUUUCUCCUUGUCUUGCAGGUAACAACAAGGCCAAAGGAAAAGACAGGGAAAAAGCAUGAUAUGGGAUACUCUUGCUUUUAACCCUGAUGAUAUGAGAUAUUCUUGCUCUAGUAUAGCUUGUUUGCAAAGGUAUUAUCGGGGGGAAAGAAAGCUGAAUAUUUCGAAAGGCUUCGUUGGGAGUGCCCUCUCAAAUAUGAGGAAGGGUUGAACAUUUUUGCAGGUUUGCCUGUCCGUUGGGGAUGGAGGUCGACAUAUAUAGGAGUCUCCCUAACAACAAGUAGUAAUGCUAUUCCUUUACCCUGCUUGGUCAUAGCACGGUAGUGGGAGCUGCCAGCUUCACAUGUUUUAACUCUGUCAGAGCACUUUGAAAAAAGUGGUCUGUGCUCUCGAGAAGUCUUCGACAGAAUGCCCAUAAUUUCCGCAAAGCUGAGUGUGCGUGUGACAGGUGCUGACAAGGCUAGAAAAGUAGGUGCCUCUUCGAUUUCUGAGAUCGGCCCUCGUGGUCUCUGAGCAGCCCAGCUUUUGAGAAAGCGAGCGUCUCUUCGAUUGAUUCGGAGAACGAUGCAUCUUCGAUUUUUAAGAAAGCAAUCAUGAUGGGGGUCUGGCUCUCGAGAUUCGGGGAGCAGUGUCACUUCGAUUUUUGAGAAAAGUAAUCAUGUUGGGAGUCUGGCUCUCGAGAUUCGGAGGGCGGUGCCUCUUCGAUUUUGGAGCAAGCAAUCUUGUUGGGAGUGUUCUCUCGAAUGUGAGUAAAGGUUGGGCAUGUUUGCUAGUCUACCUUGCCACGAAGCACAGAGGUUGACACACAGGGAUUUUCCAAUUAUCCAGCAAUGGUACUGUUCCUUUACCCUCUCUUCGAUUUUUGAGAAAGUAGUCAUGUUGGGAGUCUGGCUCUCGAGAUUCGGAGGACGGUGCCUCUUCGAUUUUGGAGCAAGCAAUCUUAUUGGUAGUGUUUUCUCGAGUGUGAGUAAAGGUUGGGCAUGUUUACUAGUCUACCUUGCCACGAAGCACAGAGGUUGACACACAUGGACUUUCCAAUUAUCCAGCAGUGGUAUUGUUCCUUUACCCUUGUGGGUAAUAAUAUGGUAGCUAGACCUUCAAAAUUUAUGGGUCUAAACUUUGUUAGUGCUGUUUCUUUGCUAUUCUUUUACCUUUCUUGGUCAGAGCGAUGUAGUGGGAGCUGCAAGCUUUAUGUGCUCAAUUUUGGCAGAGAACUUUGGCAAAGUUAUCUGUGGUACCCAUGAGCUAGUGUUGCGUGUGGGAAGUGGGUGAUUGAACAGUAAGAUUCAUGUGUUUCUACUUCCUCAGAAGUCUUCGACAGAAUGCCCAUAAUUUCCGCAAAGCUGAGUGUGCGUGUGACAGGUGCUGACAAGGCUGGAAAAGUAGGCGCCUCUUCGAUUUCUGAGAUCGGCCCUCGUGGUCUCUGAGGAGCCCAGCUUUUGAGAAAGCGAGCGCCUCUUCGAUUUCUGAGAUCGGCCUUCGUGGUCUUUGAGCAGCCUAACUUUUGAGAAAGCAAACGCAUCUUCGAUUUCUGAGAUCAACCCUCGUGGUCUCUAAGCAGCCCAGCUUUUGAGAAAGCAAACGCCUCUUCGAUUUCUGAGCAGGCGCCUCUUCGAUUUCUGAAGAUCCGUCGAGUGCAGAUUUUUAUAGGGGCUAGCAUUAAGUUCCAAAGCACACUUGAAUCUCCACCAGUAGAAGCUCCAUUCUUGCACUUCUAAGAUCUUGAUUUUGUCCAACCUCUUCUCUCUUCAACACCUUUGAAAAUGUCUGGCCCCUCCGACCGUCGUUUUGACUUGAACCUUGUUGAAGAGGCAGCCCCGCCUUCUCCAGACAACAUAUGGCGCCCAUCCUUCGUCUCCCCUACUGGUCCUCUUACCGUUGGGGAUUCCGUGAUGAAGAAUGAUAUGACUGCUGCGGUGGUGGCCAGGAACCUUCUCACUCCCAAAGAUAACAGACUACUUUCCAAACGGUCUGAUGAGUUAGCUGUUAAGGAUUCGCUGGCUCUCAGUGUUCAGUGUGCAGGUUCUGUGUCUAAUAUGGCCCAACGCCUAUUUGCUCGAACCCGCCAAGUUGAAUCAUUGGCGGCUGAGGUGAUGAGUCUCAAACAGGAGAUUAGAGGGCUCAAGCAUGAGAAUAAACAGUUGCACCGGCUCGCACAUGACUAUGCUACAAACAUGAAGAGGAAGCUUGACCAGAUGAAGGAAACUGAUGGUCAGGUUUUACUUGAUCAUCAGAGAUUUGUGGGUUUGUUCCAAAGGCAUUUAUUGCCUUCGUCUUCUGGGGCUGUACCGCGUAAUGAAGCUCCAAAUAAUCAACCUCUGAUGCCUCCUCCUUCUAGGGUUCUGUCCAGUACUGAGGUUCCGAAUGAUCCCCCUCCGGUGCCUUCUCUUUCUGGGGCUCUACCGACUGCUGAGACUUCUCCUAAGCAACCCUUGUGAAGGCUCCCUCUUGUUUGUUUAUUUUGACUCAUGUAUAUGUACACAUUUGUAGCUUAUCGGGGAUAUCAAUAAAUAAGUUUUCCUUCAUUUCAACAUAUUGUGUUAAAUACACCAAAACCUUCUUCGCUAAGUUCUUUGAAUUUUCUUUUGUUGAAGCUUGUAUGUUGAAACUUUCUGAAUGGAGCAUGUAGGUUGGGGUAGUGUUCCCUUAAUUUCCCGAGUGAGGAAAACUUCUCGAUUGGAGACUUGGAAAAUCCAAGUCACUGAGUGGGAUCGGCUAUAUGAAUCUUAGAACGCCAUUGUGCUCGGUCCUGUGUCAUGUCCUUCGUUAGAUCCAAGUACUCUAAGUCUUUUCUUAGAGUCUCUUCCAAAGUUUUCCUAGGUCUUCCUCUACCCCUUCGGCCCUGAACCUCUGUCCCAUAGUCGCAUCUUCUAAUCGGAGCGUCAGUAGGCCUUCGUUGCACAUGUCCAAACCACCGUAACCGAUUUUCUCUCAUCUUGCCUUCAAUUUCGGCUACUCCUACUUUACCCCGGAUAUCCUCAUUCUUAAUCUUAUCCUUUCUCGUGUGCCCACACAUCCAACGAAGCAUCCUCAUCUCCGCUACACCCAUUUUGUGUAUGUGUUGAUGCUUCACCGCCCAACAUUCUGUGCCAUACAGCAUCGCUGGCCUUAUUGCCGUCCUAUAAAAUUUUCCCUUGAGCUUCAGUGGCAUACGGCGGUCACACAACACGCCGGAUGCACUCUUCCACUUCAUCCAUCCAGCUUGUAUUCUAUGGUUGAGAUCUCCAUCUAAUUCUCCGUUCUUUUGCAAAGAUAGAUCCUAGGUAACGAAAACGGUCGCUCUUUGGUAUUUCUUGAUCUCCGAUCCUCACCCCUAACUCGUUUUGGCCUCCAUUUGCACUGAACUUGCACUCCAUAUAUUCUGUCUUUGAUCGGCUUAGGCGAAGACCUUUAGAUUCCAACACUUCUCUCCAAAGGUUAAGCUUUGCAUUUACCCCUUCCUGAGUUUCAUCUAUCAACACUAUAUCGUCUGCGAAAAGCAUACACCAAGGAAUAUCAUCUUGAAUAUGUCCUGUUAACUCAUCCAUUACCAACGCAAAAAGGUAAGGACUUAAGGAUGAGCCUUGAUGUAAUCCUACAGUUAUGGGAAAGCUUUCGGUUUGUCCUUCAUGAGUUCUUACGGCAGUCUUUGCUCCUUCAUACAUAUCCUUUAUAGCUUGGAUAUAUGCUACUCGUACUCCUUUCUUCUCUAAAAUCCUCCAAAGAAUGUCUCUUGGGACCCUAUCAUACACUUUUUCCAAAUCUAUAAAGACCAUGUGUAAAUCCUUUUUCCCAUCUCUAUAUCUUUCCAUCAAUCUUCGUAAGAGAUAGAUUGCCUCCAUGGUUGAGCGCCCUGGCAUGAACCCGAAUUGGUUGUCCGAAACCCGUGUCUCUUGCCUCAAUCUAUGCUCAAUGACUCUCUCCCAGAGCUUCAUUGUAUGACUCAUUAGCUUAAUAAUUUUGUCAUAAUGUAUUUGCGACCACAUAGACAUGUCGAAAUAUAAAAUAAUUUUGUCAUUUUGAAAAAUCAAUUCCGACUAAAAGAUAACUAGUAACGACAAGCCACAAGCGUCGUAAAUGAAGCAUUUUGACGGUUGGUCGAAAAAAAAAUAUUUCCAACGGAUCAAUUUGCGACACCCAACGAGGGAUUUUUCCCGUCGUCAAUAAGUAUUCGCGAUGGCAAAAUGCAUUUUCAAACGACAUUUGACCCUCGCAAAUGACCAUUUAUUUUGUAGUAUAGUACUAGAGCGUUGUUGACGCGGAGGACUGGUCACUACAUCACUUUGUAAAACAGGUUUUGUGAAAGUCUUUUGAACAGCAAUAAUUGCUUUAUUUCGGAAAAGGAGCUGAUUAAGCCUUGUCGGGGGCGUUAACGUAAAUCGCUUUCUUGAGCUUGGAUACCAUAGGAGAAGAGAAGCCUGGAGUUGGAGGAGGCUGAAUAUAACUUUUUCUUCGAAUACAGAGAGCAACAAGACGCUGUCAGUUGUGCAUCUAAUCUUCUGUAGGUCGGCAUUAUUCAUGCUAUCAAAAAGCUCCAUAGUGAUCUUCUAGCCAUGGAUUAGCAGUUUCACUUCACGCAUCCGUCCAAGAAAUUUGUUGUCAGAUAAUGCCUGCAACUUGAGCUUUUCCUUUAGUAAAGCUCAUGGAUGCAUUGCAAGACUACCAAGAGAACACAUAAAGUUUUAUUACACCUCAUGCGUUUAAUAAAUUAUUUUAGCUUUCAUUUGUUUGCAAUGAAACUUUUACUAUCGUUUUACACUCCUAGAGAAUCUCACUAUAGCCCUUUUAUCUGAUUCUGCAGUCAACAAAAAAUCUUCAUUGAAUACAUAAUGUUUGAUGGAGUGACUGAUGAAGAGCAACAUGCACACCUACUCGGGGCAAAAGUUGGAAAAUUGCUAGAGACAUUUCAAGUGGUUAGUUCUAAUCUUUAUGUACUUGCAUAAUAGGAGGAACUUCAAUCCCUUUUGCGUGUUUCGUAUAAUAUAUAUAUACAAAAUAACUUUUGCAUUUGUUGUCUCCUUUCCUAUAAUUCAUGAAUUAAUACCUUUUCAUCCAAUUGGUAUUCUGAGUAAAUUCACAACCAAUAAUGAAAGCAAAGUAAUGAGCUUCUUUCUUUUCUUAACUAUGUUUUUUUUUUCCAGAUCAUGGAAUGUUUUCUUAUGUUGAGAUUGUAACCCAAUCAAUAAGCAAGUGAAACACACAAGUUCUUAAUCGCAUGUUAGUUUUGAUCCAUUUCUAAAAAUCCUAUGCGUGGUACAAGAAAAACAUCUCUUUAGCAGCAAAGAAGAAAGAAGAGUAAAAUACUGAACAACAAUAUGAAAAGUUGGGACAUAGAAAACAAGAUAUUUUGUGUAUUAUAACUAUAUGGAUGUAAAUAAGACAAUUUUUAUGUAUGAUUUGGUCUCUAUAGAACAUAGGGAUGUGAAUAGAUUUUGAUAUGGAUGUGAAUAAAUUUUUACAAGUCCCACACAUGUAACGAAGUUUUAAAACCCGUGCAUUGCUCGAGCUCUUUUGCUCGUUUAAGCUAAAGCGAGGCCUUGUAAUGGCAGAAAUAUAUUUCUCAAGAUUGAGCCAAUAUCCAACAGUAUGGGGAAGAACACUCUCAAUAGGGGUGAUUUUAUCCGAGUCUUACAUGUUCUAUCCUUUGUUAUCCAAUGUGUUAAAGAGGAAUUCUCAAUGUUGGUGGAACGAUAUUGAGGUAGACAUGUUUCAGAUCUAACUAUGAUACGGCCAAGCUUAUAAUAUGUCAGCAAUACUGGGAUAAAUGGACUACCCAAAGUAGGUAGUUAUCGCCUGCGAGCUUAAUGGGUAGGAGGGAGGCAACAUUCCGAGGAUCAACGUGUAAUAUUGUACGUUUGUGCACAAGAGGAAAAGGUAUUGAGGCCAGUAAAAGAAUAAGUCAAGCCAUUAAGGAAGAGGGGAAGGAAGAAAUUCUGGUGGAUGAAGAGAGGAGAAGAGAGAAUAGACAACAGAUAACAGAGAAAUUGGUUUCUUGCUUUCGCAGAUGAGCUUAAGCUCUUACCUUUGCUUAGUUAUCAAGGUAGUUUUAACAUGUGAAAUAUAGUCAUAUUAAUAUUUUUGGUCGCAUAUAGAUCCUUGAAAAUUUGGAGGAUUUAUAAGAUUUGGAUUUUCGUAUGAAUUAUAUCUACUUGUAUUAGAACAGCUUUUGACACCUUAGAAAUUGUUAUGUCAUUAAACUCAUCCAUAUGCUAUAUUAGAGAGCCUAACUUCCUAUGGGACAAAAAGGAUAGUCAAAUUGGAUUAGCCGCAAAAGUGCACAAGUGUCACCCUUUGAUCCUUUGUGGCAAAUAUGAAAUCAUAUUCUAAUAAACCUAUGCGUACUAGAUUCCUAGACACACGGGCAAUUUCAGUCAAAUGGACCUUACAGUUGACGGAUUACCUGCCACAUAUCGCAAAGAAAUGUGGUCGUUCAAGCAUUACUCAUAACAGACUCGAUCAACUUUGGUGCAACUAACUUCUCGUGAAUGCCUGACCAAGCAUAAAGAAAGAAAUUCAACCGUAGAUCAUGCCAUGGGGAAAGAUCCUGACCGUGGUAGUGACUAAAUCAUCCACUUUCUACGUAGCUCACUCGCUGUUGCCACAAAGUUUUUCAGCAUAUAAACCCCACAAGCACACGUCUUAUUUCAACAAGCUAGUCUCCUCUUCUAGAGUUUCCUUAGAUCAUCUAAUACAUAAAAAAAAAUUCCACAUUCAUCAAAUUCGAUACUGUGACAUAUAGUGCAGCAAAAAUAAGUUUGAGCACUUAAUUAAGAGCGAGAAAACCAUGGCAGGCGGUGGGUUUGGGGCCGCAUCGGGAGGCGGAGACUUUGAAGCAAAGAUCACGCCUCUUGUGAUCAUUUCUUGCAUAAUGGCCGCUAGCGGAGGCCUCAUGUUUGGUUAUGAUGUUGGUAUCUCAGGUACAUAUACGUGACUCAAGAGCUUUCCGUCGCAUCCACACAUACAAUUAACUAUUAACGUACGUGUUUUGUAGAAAAUUUAUUAGAUUUCACGUAUAAUUCUGUUUAAUUUGAUAUAUGGAUAUACAACGCAGGGGGUGUUACAUCCAUGCCCCAUUUCCAGAAGAAAUUCUUCCCGGUUGUGUAUAAGAUGACUCAAGAGCCUGGACUUGAGAGCAACUACUGCAAAUAUGAUAAUCAAGGCUUGCAGUUGUUCACAUCUUCAUUGUACCUGGCUGCUUUAAUGUCAACCUUCGUUGCCUCGUACACAACCAGAUCACUAGGCCGAAAGCUAACUAUGUUUAUUGCCGGGAUAUUUUUCAUAAUCGGAACAGUUUUUAAUGCUGCAGCU
rnacentral:lncRNA from 1 species